rnacentral:lncRNA from 1 species
CUUACCCGAUAAUUCGUUAUAACUGAGAUCAAGGAGUUCCAAACUUGAUAAAUUUUGGAAAGAUGAAGGAAGCUCUCCUAAAAGCUUGUUGUCAUUCAGGUGUAGUGAUUGGAGCGAUUGUAACCGACCUAAUGACUUUGGUAUCAUCCCAGACAAAUUGUUAUUUCCAAGGUCCAAAACAAUUAGGUGAGAGCAAUUAUUUAUGGUAGAAGGAAUGCUUCCGGUCAAAUUAUUCCUUGAAAAAUCAAUGACUUCAAGAGAGGUGAGGUGUCCUAUGGAAUUUGGGAUGGUCCCUGUUAUUUGAUUAUGAGAAAGACGAAGGUAACUCAAGUCUAACAAGGAUUCACCUCUGCUAAGUGGGAUAAGGCCAGAAAAUUUAUUAUGAGAGAGAUCUAGAAAUUCCACCCCUUUGAUUGAAAAAGGAAUAGGUCCUUCAAAGAGGUUGGAACUGAAAUCGAUUUGUGAAUAAGAAAAAUUCAAUGAAUUUGGUAACUAACCUUGUAACUGAUUGUGAGAAAAACUUAAGUAAUACAGAUUGAAAGAAAUAUUCCAAAACCAAUUUGGAAUAUGACUUGAAAUGCUAGCAUUUGAGAAAUCAAGAUACUGGAGGUUCUUCUGAGAUUGAAGCCAAACCGGAAAUGAAGGACCCAAGUGGCAUGAACCCAUAAGAAGAUAAUGCACCUGGAACGGGGGAACCCAAUUAGGACUAACAUUCAAACGGAAAGAAUUGGAGUCCAUGUUUAGAUACUCCAACUUACUUAGCUUCCAAAAAUGUUGUUCAGAGAGACUUCCACUCAAUUGAUUGGAACCAACAUCCAAUAAUUGCAAUUCUGAAAGCUGACCAAUACUAUCUGGGAGACUUCCAUUCAACUCAUUCAUUCCAAUGGACAGGGACUCCAGGUGUUGCAAUGUCCAUAAAGAAGCAGGGAUGGGACCUUCAAGUUUGUUGAAUGAUAAACCGAGGCUCCUAAGAUUUUUAAGCUCACCCAACCAAUUUGGCAAUUUUCCCAUCAAUUGAUUCUCAUACAAGUAUAACUCCGUCAAAUUAGGCAAAGGACUUUUAGAACUGCAGGUUUCAAAUCCCUUGAUAAUCUCAGGUAAACUUCCAUUCAAGUAAUUAAUACUCAAAUCCAGAUAUUUUAAGUUGCAAAAGUUUCCAAAAGAGCUUGGAAUUGGACCUAUAAUGAGCAAGAUUAAAAAAUAUGUAUUAAUUAAAAUUAUGUAAUAAACAAAUAAUAAAAAUAGUAAAUAACAAAAUUAAUUAAUUCAUGAACAAUUAAUUUAAAGAAAAAGUAAGAAAAAUUAUUAUUAUUCAUGAAUUGGUAUUUUUUUUUUAUCUUUUCUGAUAACCAUAAAAUAAAAUAAUUUAUUUCAAUGUUAUAAGAAUAGUAGGAUUAAUCAUUGAUAUUAAUUGUUCCUUUAAAAAUAAAAUAAUUUUUUUGAACAAAGUGAUAGUUCAAUGAGAGAAGAUAGAAAAUCAAAAUAUAAACCAAAGGAUUAAGAAAUCAAGUUAUCAAAAGAUAAAUUUUUAUUUUAGCGAUGAAAAUAAAGCAAGAGAAAACUAGGAAUUCAACCUAAUUUAAUAUCUUGAAACAACAACACUAUAAGAAACUAGCAAAAUUAAAUAAAAAGUGAGAAACUUAUAAUAAACUAAAAUUAGUAAAAUGACGAAGCAACAUGGUUUAUAGUCUAACUAAAAUAUACAAAGGAUAUGCAAUGAAAUGAAAUAUCUAAAUUAAUUGAGGAGUGAGGAUGUCCUUCAAUCAAAUUGUCACUCAAAUCUAAAUAUUUUAGAGACUUCAAUUUUAUCAAUAAAGGUCUGAUCUAAUUAAUUAAGUUUACAAGACACAAAACUCAUAUGGCAACAAUUACUUCCCCUUUAGGAUAGAGGUUAAUAUUAACUUCUUGAUUUGGAUUUUAGUCAAUUCUCUUAAUGAUGAAAAAAAAAAAAAAAAACGCGUUGUGUUUGGAACUUCUAAUGUUUUAUUUCUAAAGAUAGAAAUUCAUAGAAACCCUAAUAUAAAUAGUAAAACUUUACCAUAAAAAGUAAUGAUAUUUAAAAAUUGUUUUAAAAACCAUGAAUAUUAGAAAAAAAUUUACUAUCUUAAAUUUUUUAAAUUUCAAUAACAGUAUUUAAGAACAUGAAAUGUCAUAUUAUAUUCACUUAAUGUUCAAUUUUAUGGUUUCAAUUACUUGUCUCAACCAUGAAAUGUCAUAUCUCAAUAUAUAAAUUACAAUAAUUUGGCAUAAUAGAUGAAUUAUGGAGAGAAAAUAGAAAUUGAAAAUGUGCAAGAGAUGAUUGAAAGUUAUUUGAUGAUAAAGAUUCUUAACAAACGUAAAUUGUCAAAAUAGGAAUAUAAAUUUUUUUACUGUUUAAAAAAGCAGUAAUUUGGCAAUGUCCAUAAAGAAGUAAGGAUGUGACCUUCAAGUCUGUUGUCGAAUAAACUGAGUACCCUAAGAUUUUUAAGCUCACCCAACCAAUUUGGCAAUUUUCCCAUCAAUUGACUGUCAUCCAAGUAUAACUCCGUCAAAUUAGGCAAAGGACUUUUAGAACUGCAGGUUUCAAUUCCCUUGAUAAUCUCAGGUAAACUUCCAUUCAAGUAAUUACCCCCCAAAUUCAGAUAUUUUAAGUUGCAGAAGUUUCCAAAAGAGCUUGGAAUUGGACCUGUAAUGAGCAAGAUUAAAAAAUAUGUAUUAAUUAAAAUUAUGUAAUAAACAAAUAAUAAAAAUAGUAAAUAAAAAAAUUAAUUAAUUCAUGAACAAUUAAUUUAAAGAAAAAGUAAGAAAAAUUAUUAUUCAUGAACAAAAUAAAUUAUUAUUCAAAAGAUAAAUUUUUAUUUUAGCAAUGAAAAAAAUAUAUUUUUCUAAACAAUUAUUUUAAUUCUAAGUGGUUAUUCUAUUUAUUUACAAACUCCUAGAAAAUGUGAAUAAAAAAUUAUAGUUAUCUAAGCUAUAUACCAGUAGAAACUACCAUUAAAGAAUAAAGCUAGAGAAAACUAGGAAUUCAACCUAGUUUAAUAUUUUGAAACAAUAACACUACAAGAAACUAGCAAAAUUAAAUAAAAAGUGAGAAACUUAUAAUAAACUAAAAUCAGUAAAAUGGUGAAGCAACAUGGUUUAUAAUCUAACUAAAAUAUACAAAGGAUAUGCAAUGAAAUGAAAUAUCUAAAUUAAUUGAGGAGUGAGGAUAUCCUUAAAUCAAAUUGUCACUCAAAUCUAAAUAUUUUAGAGACUUCAAUUUUAUCAAUAAAGGUCUAAUCUAAUUAAUUAAGUUUAAAAGAGACAAUAUAUCAAAGUAAAAACUCAUAUGGCAACAAUUGCUUCCCCUUUAGGAUAGAGGUCAAUAUUAACUUCUUGAUUUGGAUUUUAGUCAAUUCUCUAAGGUUGUGUUUGGAACUUCUAAUGUUUUAUUUCUAAAGAUAGAAAUUCAUAGAAACCCUAAUAUAAAUAGUAAAACUUUACCAUAAAAAGUAAUGAUAUUUAAAAAUUGUUUUAAAAACCAUGAAUAUUAGAAAAAAAUUUACUAUCUUAAAUUUUUUAAAUUUCAAUAACAAUAUUUAAGAACAUGAAAUGUCAUAUUAUAUUCACUUAAUGUUCAAUUUUAUGGUUUCAAUUACUUGUCUCAACCAUGAAAUGUCAUAUCUCAAUAUAUAAAUUACAAUAAUUUGGCAUAAUAGAUGAAUUAUGGAGAGAAAAUAGAAAUUGAAAAUGUGCAAGAGAUGAUUGAAAGUUAUUUGAUGAUAAAGAUUCUUAACAAACGUAAAUUGUCAAAAUAGGAAUAUAAAUUUUUUUACUAUUUAAAAAAGCAGUAAUUUGGCAAUGUCCAUAAAGAAGUAGGGAUGUGACCUUCAAGUCUGUUGCCGGAUAAAUCGAGUUCCCUAAGAUUUUUAAGCUCACCCAACCAAUUUGGCAAUUUUCCCAUCAAUUGAUUGCCAUUCAAGUAUAACUCCAUCAAAUUAGGCAAAGGACUUUUAGAACUGCAGGUUUCAAUUCCCUUGAUAAUCUCAGGUAAACUUCCAUUCAAGUAACUUCCCCCCAAAUUCAGAUAUUUUAAGUUGCAAAAGUUUCCAAAAGAGCUUGGAAUUGGACCUGUAAUGAGCAAGAUUAAAAAAUAUGUAUUAAUUAAAAUUAUGUAAUAAACAAAUAAUAAAAAUAGUAAGUAACAAAAUAAAUUAAUUCAUGAACAAUUAAUUUAAAGAAAAAAUAAGAAAAAUUAUUAUUCAUGAACAAAAUAAAUUAUUAUUCAAAAGAUAAAUUUUUAUUUUAGCAAUGAAAAAAAAUAUGUUUUUCUAAACAAUUAUUUUAAUUCCAAGUGGUUAUUCUACUUAUGUACAAACUCCUAGAAAAUGUGAAUCAAAAAUUAUAGUUAUCUAAGUUAUAUACCAGUAGAAACUGCCAUUAAAGAAUAAAGCAAGAGAAAACUAGGAAUUCAACCUAGUUUAAUAUUUUGAAACAAUAACGCUACAAGAAACUAGCAAAAUUAAAUAAAAAGUGAGAAACUUAUAAUAAACUAAAAUUAGUAAAAUGACGAAGCAACAUGGUUUAUAGUCUAACUAAAAUAUACAAAGGAUAUGUAAUGAAAUGAAAUAUCUAAAUUAAUUGAGGAGUGAGGAUGUCCUUCAAUCAAAUUGUCACUGAAAUCUAAAUAUUUUAGAGACUUCAAUUUUAUCAAUAAAGGUCUAAUCUAAUUAAUUAAGUUUGCAAGACACAAAACUCAUAUGGCAACAAUUACUUCCCCUUUAGGAUAGAGGUUAAUAUUAACUUCUUGAUUUGGAUUUUAGUCAAUUCUCUUAAUGAUGAAAAAAAAAACGCUAAGGUUGUGUUUGGAACUUCUAAUGUUUUAUUUCUAAAGAUAGAAAUUCAUAGAAACCAUAAUAUAAAUAGUAAACCUUUACCAUAAAAAGUAAUGGUAUUUAAAAAUUGUUUUAAAAACCAUGAAUAUUAGAAAAAAAUUUACUAUCUUAAAUUUUUUAAAUUUCAAUAACAGUAUUUAAGAACAUGAAAUGUCAUAUUAUAUUCACUUAAUGUUCAAUUUUAUGGUUUCAAUUACUUGUCUCAACCAUGAAAUGUCAUAUCUCAAUAUAUAAAUUACAAUAAUUUGACAUAAUAGAUGAAUCAUGGAGAGAAAAUAGAAAUUGAAAAUGUGCAAGAGAUGAUUGAAAGUUAUUUGAUGAUAAAGAUUCUUAACAAACUUAAAUUGUCAAAAUAGGAAUAUAAAUUCUUUUUGGAGUUACAAAGAAAGUAAAUUUUUUAGAUUUCAAUCUAAUGUUGUUUUUCAUUUAUUAAUUACAAGAUUUUCAAAAAUAAAUGAAUAGUAAAUUAUAAUUAUUUAAAUUUUAUAGGAACAAGAAACACCUUAAGAUAAACAUGACAAUCUAGAAUAAAACUUUGAUAGAAUAGUUUAAAACAAAGUAUACCAUGAGAAUAAACUAUUUAAUAACUAAAACUAGUAAAAUAUUAUAUAUAAAAAAAAGUGACACUAACAAAGUACGUAAUAUAUCAAUUCAACCGUAAUAUAAAUAUUCAACUUAGUGCAUACUCAAAUUAUUAUUCCCAAUAACAAAAUAAAUUGAAAAAAUGAGAGCAUGUCAAAAUCUUACUAUAGAAAUGAAAGCAUUAAAAAAAUAAUUAAUAUAAUAAUGUAUGAAAAUGAUACUACUAUUAUUAUUUAAAAUAAUAAAUAAUAAAUCAUUGAUCAACUAAUUUAAAAUAAAAAAAGGAGGUUGAGGAUUAAAAAAAUCAUAUUCCUAUAAGUACAAUUCUUUUAUUAGUUACAUAGACAUGCACCUUUUAUAAUCACUUACCCUUACACAAAAAAAUUGUUAAAUAAUAUAGAUACUUCAUAAGCAUAAAGUGUCAAACUAUAUACUUUUUCUUAGAUAAAAAAUAAAUAAAUAAAUAAAUAAAAAACCCUAAAUUUCCUUCUAAGAAAUUUAAAAUUCAAAAUAAUGUUUUAUUAGUAAGUAUAAAUUUAUUUCCACUAUGAGAACAAAAUAUAGUGAUUAUUUGAUAUUGUAUGCUAAUACAUAUUCAAUAAGAACUUAUAUACACAAUCAUCAACUAUAUAUAUUUAAUUACACAUUUACAUACAAACAAAGAAAUAUCAAUUUUUCUAUUAAGAGAAGAACUUACCAUGUAAUUCAUUUCCACCAAAAUUGAGAAAUUCUAUCUUUUUCCAACUCUUCCUCAAUAGUUGAGAGAUACUGCCCCGGAGAUUGUCAUUCCCAGAUAGAUCUAUGUAUUGCAAAUUGGGUAGCUCACCAAGACCAAGUGGAAUCCUCCCAUGUAAUUGAUUGUAGCUUAUAUCAAUGGAUCCAAGGCUGCUAACAUUUAGAAGCCAUUCCGGAAACAUAGAAAUGAAUUGGUUCGAGUUGAUGCUUAUAACAAGAAGUGAAGUAAAGUUAACAAAGCUUGGAGAUGGAAUUGAGCCAGAGAGGCUACAACCAUCUAGAUGCAACUCUGUUAAAAUUGGAAGUUUGUUUAUCACCUCGACCCAUUCACUUCCUACUGAUGAGAGGUUAACAUAAUCCAUACCAAGAUACUUCAAGGAAACAAGACUAGCCAUCCAUUCAAUAUUGCCAAUAGAUAAAUCAUUAAAAUAUUCAAAAUAUUCAAAAUAUUCAAAAUCAUCAUAACUCAGAUCUUCAAAAGAAAGAUCAAGAUACUGCAAAUUAGAAAGAUUUCCAAAAUUUGAAGGAAUUGUACCACUAAACCCAGCACCUGAUAAGUUUAGAUAUAGUAAAUUCUUCAAAGACCCGAAUAAUUGAGGAAUUGGCAUGCCUUUGAAUGAGUUGAAACUCAAAUCUAGAUAUUUCAAAGACUUGAGUUUUGUCAAUGAAGGUCUAAUUUCUCCACUCAAGUUCAUAGAGCUCCAGUUCCCAUAUACAUUCUCACGAGGAUAAGGGUUAUGAAGAUCAAUGGAAAUGACAAUUCCUGUGUCUUUUUCACAAGUAAUUCCUUGCCAAUAGCAAUAAUUGCUUCCUUUCCAUGAUGAAAGUCGAUUGUUGGGAUCUUUGAGACCACUUUUGAAGUCAAUAAGAGCCUCUUGUUCAGAUUGAAUGUUGUUGCUCAUAUGGGUAUAACCAUUACAUGCAAGUUCCGUUGUUAUGAAAUAGAGAAUGGCUAAAAUGAAACCAAGAAUUGAAAUUCUCUCCAUGUAAAUAUUCUAAGUUGAGCACCUGUAAAAAUUGAAUUCCAAUAUGUAGUCAGCAUUUUCUUGAAUUAAAUUAAAAUUUUAUUUUUGACAUCAAAAUGAAAAAUUGAUAAAAUUAAAAAGACAGUUGCAUCAACAUGACAAACUUAUUUUAACCGACACAUUUAAGAAAUGUCACCAGUCUAAUAUAAUUUUAAAAGAUCUACUCAUAGCAUAUGUAAAUAUAUACUAAGAAAAACAGUAGUAAUCAUCUCAUAGAUAUUCAACCUUACUUUGAUUGGCGAGAACUGAAAUCACCUACACGAGAGUUAGAAGGAUUAGAUAGAAAAGCACAUUAAAAGUAGUUUAUCAAUAUUAGUCGAGUUCAACCUUACCUGAAACUUCUUUCUUGUUUUCCUUGUUUUUUCAAUUCAACUAAAAUAUAUAGAAGAUUGCUUAAAGUGAUGACAAUGAUAGCCUCACUUUCUUAUUUUCCUUGUUUUUUCAAUCAUAUUAAAUUCUAAUUGAGUGGAAAAUGACUCAGAGUCCUUACCUCCACCACAAAAAACCAAGUGUCUUAAUUGAAGACCUUCACUUGAAGAUAAAAAAGAUGUGGAUUGAAAGACCAUGAGUUGGCACUAAGUCAAGGUCAAUAAGAUUAAAAUAAACANNNNNNNNNNNNNNNNNNNNNNNNNNNNNNNNNNNNNNNNNNNNNNNNNNNNNNNNNNNNNNNNNNNNNNNNNNNNNNNNNNNNNNNNNNNNNNNNNNNNNNNNNNNNUAAAAAAAACUACACUUGUUUAAAUUUUGAAAGAUCUUAAUUGGGAAAAAUAAAAUAUGUAUAUCAAGGUGCUAAGAAUAAGUCAAGAGCUUAGAUCAUUCAACAUACAAAAAUAGUAUUGAAUCGAUGGGCUUAUUUGGUGGUAUAAUUUAGAAAUUCAUAGCACUAUUUGGCAUGUUUUAUCCCAAAAACAAAUUUUUAAAAUAAAGUUAAACAGAGAACAACUUUUAGAAAAUAAAUAAAAUUUCUUCUCACUUGUUUUUAAAAACAAAAGGAAAACAUAAAAAAAAAUAAUAAAUACAAUCUCUUUCUUCUUUCAUUUUUUCUUUACCAACCAAUGAUACAAAAUCAUCAAAUAUGAUCUUUCUCUUAAUUAUACGUAUUUUUUUUUUAUUUUCUUUAACUUCUCUAAUUUUUUUUAUUAGGCAUAUAGAUUUUGAAUCAAAUAAUACUUAACAUAAAGGAUUUAUUCAUUUUAAAAAUAAUUUGAAACUCAAAAUCAAUUUAAUUAAUACUAAAUUGUCAUCAAAGUUAAAAGUUAAUUUAAUUAAUACAAAAAAAGUCAUGAACCAAAAUUUAUCAUGGAUGACUUUUUUAGUUUCUUAUUACAACACAUAACUAUAUUUUUUUGAAUUUUUUACUAGAAAAAUAAAUUAAAUCUAGCAAAACUUAAUGUUUCGAUCCUUUAAUGAAUCUAAUAAUUUUUAGAAAUACUUUCAAAUUCACAUACGGACUCAAUUAAUAGCAUAAAUUUAUAGAUAAAAAUGGUUUAUAAUGACUCUUGUUGUCUAUUUUCUGGGUAGAACUAUAAUUUUUUAUUUUUUAUUACUAGACGAAUAGACCUCAAAUCAAGAAAAAAAACUUAAUGUUUUGGGUGUUUUAAAAAUUCUAUUACUUUUAAAGAAUUAAUUUGAGACUUAAAUUACAUUCAAGUAAAGCAUCCUUUAAAAUGAAAAAAUAAAAUAAAAUAGUUUGUAUCUUUUUCAUGACCCAUUAAUCUUGUAAGAAUCAUAGAUCACGUUGUUUGAUCAUGAUCGAUGAUUAACGAACUUUAUUCUCUAUGUAGUGUUGACUACGUUAUCAAGUCAAAAAGUUAUACCGUGUUCAAGUAAGACAUCUUCCAAAAUUUUAAAAAAUAUAAUAAGAUAAAAUAAAAUAAAGGCCUUGACUCAAUUCUUUUUAUCAUGAAGGUCAUUCUUCACCUAAAAAAUAAAGUUAACAACUUCACAUCUAAUUAUAAUAUUGGAUAAAAAGAAGUGUUUAAUAGUGAUCAAAACACUGAUUUUAUAUCAUUAUACAAAAUUAAAGGAAAUAAUCAACUAGUCAAGAAAUGAAUUGAUUAAUUGUUACCUUUACCAAAAUGCCUUAUUAUAUAUUAUAGCUUUUCUUUAAAUAAAAUUAAAAGAAAAUUGUCAAAUAGCACCAUAAUAAAGGGAAAAUUGAUCUUAGUCCACAUUACUACUUUUGUUCAAACAAAAUUAAAAUAAAUUUUGUGAAAUAUAUCAAUAAAAAAGGAAAAAUACUUGCAUGAAAAGAUAGAUUUUUUUUUUAAAGCAAAAUGUUACUAAAUAAAGGGAAAAUACUUGUAUAAACUAGUUUAUCUAAAAUUAGACCUUGACUUAGUAUUUAAUAAAUAUAGGAAGGAGAACAAAUAUAUAUGUCAACCAUACCAUUAAUUUUAUCUUAAUGUAUAAAAAUAAAGAUAACUAUUGGAUAGCCAAAAAUAAUAAUAAAAUUAAAUAUUUAUUAUCCAUAAUUGUAAAUUAUGAAAACAUUGAAAAGUUAUUUUAAAUCCAAAUAUGUCAAAAUAACAUCAUUAAUAUAAUUGCUUUCAAUUCAUUUUUACACACACAUAGUAGAUUAAACAUUAUAUCUAUCUUGCAAUUUAAGUAAUCACUUUUGACUUCAAAGGAAAAUGAUAUUAGAAAAUAAUAUGAUCCAACCCAAAAACAUAAUUUCUUUAAGUUCCAACUAAUGAGAAACAUACACAUGCAAUAACCUUAUUACAAUAUAUUAGUUUCUUCCAAUUUAUUUUUUUUAAUUUUUUAUUAUUCAAAUAUCUAAUAACCUAAUUUGCCUAAAAUUAAUCAUGACAAUGAUUAACCAUCUAAAAUCAAAUCAUAAUGUCCAUUUUUUUCUUGAUCAUAAUCCACAAUAAAGAAUAUUUAUUUUGAAUGGAGUGUAGACCACAUUAUAAAGUUUGUCAAUUCAAAUAGUCAUAUGGAUAAUAAAUAACUAUUUUAAAAUCAUAUUAGAAUAGUUUGUAUUGUUAUAUGACCCAUCAAUUUUGUAUGAAGUGUAGACUACGUUGUUUGACUAUGACCGAUGGUAAUGGAAUUUUAUUCUCUAUGUAGUAUUGAUCACAUUAUCAAGUCAAAAAGUUAAAUUGUGCUCAAGUAAAACAUCCUUUAAAAUUUAAAAAAAAAAAAUCAAAAAUCAAAAGACCUUGACUCUUUCAAAAUUAUGGGUUUUGAAAGUUGGAAGUAAAAAUGGAGAAGGAAAAACCAAGAAAAAAAAGGCCCAUAUAUUAGGCCCUAGUAAAAAGGAAACAAAGGUUUUCGAAAAAGGAAAAUUAAAUAAAAUAAAAAUUCCAACGAGCCAAAAGUUGCCCAGAAAAUGGGCUGAAAUAGGGGCUAAAUAAUAAUAAUAAUAACCAUACAUCCGUAUUGAAGGUGAUAUCUUUUGAAACAUUCAAGUCCACGUAAGAUAGUAAUAGAUAAGAUGAUAAUAGCCUUACAACCAUAUUGAAGAGUGAUAUCUUUUGAAAUAUUCAAGAUCUUACAACGUUGAAGUCAAUGAAAAAUGUUGUCCACACAAGAUGAUAAUAACUUUACAACCAUAUUAAAGGAUGAUAUCUUUCAAAACAUUCAAGACCUUACAACCACAUUGAAAUAUUUUAGACCUUACAACAUUCAAGUCUAUCAAAAAUGUUGUCCACACAAAAUGGUAAUGAAUAAGUUUAAUAUUCUCAAAUUAUUAUAAAUCAAGCAAAGUCUAGCUUGGCCAAUAAUAUUAUAAAUUUUAAAAUUAAUUAUCUACAAUUAUAAAUUAUUUAAAGUUAUUUUGAAUCCAAAUAUGUCAAGUAGCAUCAUUAUUAUAAUUGCAUCCAAUUUAUUUUCCUAUACACACAUAAUAGAUUAAACACUAUAUUUGUGUUGCAACUAAAGUAAUCACUUUUUACUUCGAAGGAAAUUGUGUUAGAAAAUAAUAAGAUCCAAACCACAACUUAAUUCCUCAAGUCCCAACUAAUGAGAAAUAUACACAUGAUAUAAUCUUAUGAUAAUAGAUUAGUUCCUUCCAAUUAUUUUUUAAUAUAUAAAUAUCUAAUUACAUAAUUUGUCUAGAUUUAAUCAUGAAUAACGAAUAACCAUUUAAAAUCAAAUCAUAAUAGUCCAUUCCUCCGGACCCACAACUAGCUCCUCCCCACUUCUUCCAAAGUCUUCACAAAAGAUUCUUAUUUCCACCUGGGAAUCUUUUAUUAAAUUUUUAAUUCUAUAAUGCUUUCUCAUUGCAAAAUUAGGGUCUUUUUAAUUUUUAAUUCUAUAACCCAUAAAAACUUAACAAAUAAAUAAAAUUUUAUAGAUUUAUAUAUAUAUAUUUUAUGUUCACUAAAACAUUAUCAUUUUUUUAACAAAAAAAAACAUAAUUUGUAUUUUUAUUAUAUAUGAAAUUUAUCAUUACAUUAUUUAUUGAAACAAUUAUCAUCCUUUAUUUUGUAUUUAUUUCUUAUAAUUUAGUUUUUUUUAAGUAAAACAAAAUUGGUGUGAAUUUUUAAAAUAUUAUAAUUUAUAGAUAAAUUUUUUCAAAUAUUAAUAUUCAUUUUUAAUGAAAAAAUAUAGUUAAAAUGUUUAUCUAAAAAUUAACAAUUUCACAAACUUUUAACAAAAUAUUAAAAAAAAAAAAAUCCACGGGAUUUGUUUUCUUUCAUGGUUUUAUCUAUUUUCUCAUAUUAUCCUUAGAAAAAUGAAUUUAUAUUAAAAAAUAUUAGUUGAUAAGAUAACAACAAAUCAAUUUACUACAUAACAUAAAUUAAUAAAACCACUAUGAUAUUUUAAACACUAGUGAUUUGUUUCUUCAAAAUUAUUUUUGAAAAAUUAUCCAAAAGUCUACAUUUUUUUUUAAAUAACCCAAAUGUUAAGGUUCAAUAAUAUUUUAUUAAGGUUGUUUCUUGAAAUUAAUUUUCUAGAUAGAAAAAAGGUUUUCUAUUUUUUUUUAAGUAAUCACUUUUGACUUCAAAGGAAAAUGAUAUUAGAAAAUAAUAUGAUCCAACCCACAAACUUAAUUCCUUUAAGUUUCAACUAAUGAGAAACAUACACAUGCAAUAACCUUAUUAUGAUAUAUUAGUUUCUUCCAAUUUUUUUUUAUACAAAUAUCUAAUAACUUAAUUUGCCUAGAUUUAAUCAUGGACAAUGAUUAACCAUCUAAAAUCAAAUCAUAAUGUCCAUUUUUUUCUUGAUCAUAAUCCACAAUAAAGAAUAUUUAUUUUGAAUGAAGUGUAGACCACGUUGUAAAGUUUGUCAAGUCAAAUAGUCAUAUGUAUAAUAAAUAACUAUUUUAAAAUCGUAUUAGAAUAGUUUGUAUUUUUAUAUGACCCAUCAAUUUUGUAUGAAGUGUAGACUACGUUGUUUGACUAUGACGGAUGAUAAUGGAAUUUUAUUCUCUAUGUAGUAUUGAUCACGUUAUCAAGUCAAAAAGUUAAAUCGUGCUUAAGUAAAACAUCCUUUAAAAUUAAAAAAUAAAAAAUCAAAGAACCUUGACUCGUUCAAAAUUAUAGGUUUUGAAAGUUGGAAGUAAAAAUGAAGAAGGAAAAACCAAGAAAAAAAAGGCCCAUAUAUUGGGCCCAGAAAUUAGGCCCUUGUAGAAAGAGAAAAAAGGUUUUAGAAAAAGGAAAAUUAAAUAAAAUAAAAAUUCAAACGGCCAAAAGUUGCCCAGAAAAUGGGUGAAAUAGGGGCCAAAUAAUAAUAAUAAUAACUAUACAUCAAUAAUGAAGGUGAUAUCUUUUGAAACAUUCAAGUCCACAUAAGAUAGUAAUAGAUAAGAUGAUAAUAGCCUUACAACGAUCUUUUGAAACAUUCAAGUCAAUGAAAAAUGUGUCCACACAAGAUGAUAAUAGAUAAGUUUAAAUAAUAAUAAUAAUAAUAAUAAUAAUAAAACCUUACAACCAUAUUGGAGGGUGAUACUUUUUGAAACAUUCAAGUCCACACAAGAUGAUAAUAACUUUACAAUCAUAUUAAAGGAUGAUAUCUUUCAAAACAUUCAAAACCUUAAAACCACAUUGAAAUAUUUUAAACCUUACAACAUUCAAGUCUAUGAAAAAGGUUGUCCACACAAAAUGGUAAUAGAUAAGUUUAAUAUUCUCAAAUUAUUAUAAAUCAAGCAGGUCUAGCUUGCCAAUAAUAUUAUAAACUUAAAAAUUAAUUAUCUACAAUUAUAAAUUAGUUAAAGUUAUUUUGAAUCCAAACAUGUCAAGUAGCACCAUUAUUAUAAUUGCAUCUAAUUUAUUUUCCUAUACACACAUAAUAGAAAAUAAUAAGAUCCAAAUCACAACUUAAUUCCUUAAGUCCCAAUUAACGAGAAACAUACAAAUAUCUAAUUACAUAAUUUGUCUACAUUUAAUCAUGGACAAUGAGUAAUCAUUUAAAAUCAAAUCAUAAUAGUCCAUUCCUUCGGACCCACAACUAGCUUCUCUCCACUUCUUCUAAAGUCUUCACAAAAGAUUCCUACUUCCACCAGGGAAUAUUUUCUUAAAUUUUUAAUUCUAUAAUGCUUUCUCAUUGCAAAAUUAGGGUCUUUUUAAUUUUUAAUUCUAUAACCCAUAAAAACUUAAUAAAUAAAUACAAUUUUAUAGAUUUAUAAUAUAUAUAUAUAUAUAUAUAUAUGUUCACUAAAACAUUACCAUCUUUUUAACAAAAAAAAAAAACAUAAUUUGUAUUUUUAUUAUAUAUGAAAUUUAUCAUUACAUUAUUUAUUGAAACAAUUAUCAUCCUUUAUUUUGUAUUUAUUUCUUAUAAUUUAGUUUUUUUUUUUUGAAGUAAAACAAAAUUGGUGUGAAUUUUUAAAAUAUUAUAAUUUAUAGAUAAAUUUUUUCAAAUAUUAAUAUUCAUUUUUAAUGAAAAAAUAUAGUUCAAAUGUUUAUCUAAAAAUUAACAAUUUCACAAACUUUUAAUAAAAUAUUAAAAAAAAAAAAAAGUCCACGGGAUUUGUUUUCUUUCAUGGUUUUAUCUAUUAUCUCAUAUUAUCCUUAGAAAAAUGAAUUUAUAUUAAAAAAUAUUAGUUGAUAAGAUAACAACAAAUCAAUUUACUACAUAAUAUAAAUUAAUAAAACCACUAUGAUAUUUUAAACACUAGUGAUUUUUUUUUUCAAAAUUAUUUUUGAAAAAUUAUCCAAAAGUCUACAUUUUUUUUUUAAAAUAACCAAAAUGUUAAGGUUCAAUCAUAUUUUCUUAAAGUUAUUUUUUGAAAUUAAUUUUCUAGAUAAAAAAUUAAGUAAUUACUUUUGACUUCAAAGGAAAAUGAUAUUAGAAAAUAAUAUGAUCCAACCCACAAACUUAAUUCCUUUAAGUUCCAACUAAUGAGAAACAUAACAUGCAAUAACCUUAUGAUAGAUUAGUUUCUUCCAAAUUUUUUUUUAUACAAAUAUCUAAUAACUUAAUUUGCCUAGAUUUAAUCAUGGACAAUGAUUAACCAUCUAAAAUCAAAUCAUAAUAAUCCAUUUUUUUUCUUGAUCAUAAUCCACAAUAAAGAAUAUUUAUUUUGAAUGAAGUGUAGACCACGUUGUAAAGUUUGUCAAGUCAAAUAGUCACAUCGAUAAUAAAUAACCAUUUUAAAAUCAUAUUAGAACAGUUUGUAUUUUUUUAUGACUCAUCAAUUUUGUAUGCAGUGUACACUACUUUAUUUGAUUAUGACUGAUAAUAAUGAAAUUUUAUUCUCUAUCUAGUAUUGAUCACAUUAUCAAGUCAAAAAGAUAAAUCGUGCUCAAGUAAACAUCCUUUAAAAUUAAAAAAAUUAAAAAUCAAAAGACCUUGACUCGUUCAAAAUUAUGGGUUUUGAAGGUUGGAAGUUAAAAUGGAGAUGGAAAAACCAAGAAAAAAGGCCCAUAUAGUUGGCCCAUAAAUUAGGUCCUUGCAAAGAGAAAAAAAAAAGUUUCAGAAAAAAGAAAAUUAAAUAAAAUAAAAAAUGAAAUGGCCCAAAAGUUGCCUCGAAAAUAGGCUGAAAUAGGGGCCAUAAACUGUCUCUGUAAGAGAAAAAAAGCUUCAUAAAAAUUAUGAGGCCCAAAAUUGGCCCAGAAGUUGGGCCCAGGGAUCUGACCCAUAAAAGGGCCAAAAAGGCUGGCUGGGAGGGGAUUAAAAAAAGGGCAAACUGGCCGAGCCCAUGAAAAUGGGCCAAAAUUAGGCCCAGCCCAUUUUUAUUGGGGUGGGUAUGGUGGGGGUGGGCUUCGCUUGGGUGUGGGUGAGGGGAGGGUUGCCUAAUGACACGGUGCCAUGUGGCAGCUCCAAUUGAGGUGCAGAACCCCACUUUUAAGCCCAUAAUUUAUAGUUUGUUUUCGGUCAAUAUUUUAAAUAAAAUUAAAAGAAAAGUAAUUAAAUAAUAAGAUGUGAUUAUGAUUUCUGUUUAUCUCCUCAUACUCCUUUGCAUGAUGCUUUAGCUCUACUGUAAAAAUACAUAAUUUAUAUUUUUUGUUAUUUAUGAAAUUUAUCAUGACAUGGUUUAUUGAAAUAUUUAUUAUCCAUUUGUUUUAUUUAUUUAAGUUAAAAAAAUAUUUGUGUGAAGUUCUAAAAUAUUAUAAUCCAUAGCUAAAACAUUAGAAAAUCAAAAUUAAAUAAAAUAAAAAUUCAAAGGCUCUAAAGUUGCCAGAAAAUGGGCCGAUAUAGGGCCCAGAAAAUGGUCCAUUUAAGGAGGCAAAAAAGGCUUCAGAAAAAUCAUAUAUGUAAAAAAAGAGAGGCCCAAAAUUGGCCCAGAAAUUAGGCCCAAAGAUGGGACCCAUAAGAAAGCCCAAAAGGCUGGCUGGUGGGGAAUAAAAAAAUAAAUAAAAAGGGCCAAAUUGGCCCAGCCUAGGAAAAGAGUUGAAUUAUAUUUAAUUUAUUUUUAUAUUUUAUUAAAAACUAUUUAUUUUUAAUUUAGUUAUAAUAAUAAAUUUAUUUUUUCUUUGUAAUAAGAUUUGAAUUAAAUUUAAUUUAUAUUAGAUAAAUUAAAUUUACAAAAUCAAAAUAAAAGAUUAUUUUUAAAAAGCAACUUAUAUAAAUUGGUUUUUUGUUUCUUAUUAUUUGAAAAGUGUUUUUAAAAAUGGUUUACACAAAGGCAAUCAAAAUACCCUUUGUGAGUGAUGAAUUGAAUUCCAUUUAUAAGUGGAAAUUCAUUUAUUUGUUGUAACCAUUUUUUAUUUCAUUAUCAUGUUAAGCAUAAUAACGAAUGAAAUGUCUAUUUGAACUCCUUGUUCAGUAUAUCAAACAUGAUAAUGAUAAAUAUAUUUUAAUAAGUUUAUAAAUUUUAUUUUACUAAUAUUUUAAUAAAUCUAUAAAUUUUAAAACUUAACAAAUAAAUACAAUUUUAUAGAUUUAUUAAAAUGCUAAGAUCUAUUUUUAUUAUUUUUUACUAAAAGAUUAUCAUUUUCUUAACAAAAAAAAUACAUAAUUUAUAUUUUUAUUAUAUAUGAAAAGUUAUCAUUACAUUAUUUAUAGAAGCAAUUAUUAUCUAUUUAUUUUGUAUUUUUUUUUCUUAUAAUGAAGUAUUUGUUUUAAAGUAAUUAAAAAUUUAAUGAUUAGGCUAUUAAUUUUAUCCUACAAAAAAUAAAUAAGGAGGAUUAUGAAAAAACAAUGCCAAUUACUUUUUGUCCCUUAACAAAAUAUUUUAUUGCAUCAAAACUAUCUUGUUUGAGACUUAAAAACAAUGAACCACUUCAUAUUGAUAAUAAAAACCUUACAACCAUAUUGGAGGGUGAUAGUUUUUGAAACAUUCAAGUCCACGCACAUUGAAAUAUUUUAGACUUUUCAACAUUCAAGUCUAUGAAAAAUAUUGUUCACAUAAAAUGGUAAUGGAUAAGUUUAAUAUUCUCAAAUUAUUAUAAAUCAAGCAAGUCUAGCUUGGCCAAUAAUAUUAUAAACUUAAAAAUUAAUUAUCUAGAAUUAUAAAUUAGUUAAAGUUAUUUUGAAUCCAAAUAUGCCAAUUAAGUAGCACCAUUAUUAUAAUUGCAUCUAAUUUAUUUUCCUAUACAUACAUAAUAGAAAAUAAUAAGAUCCAAACCAUAACUUAAUUCCUUAUGUCCUAACUAAUGAGAAAUAUACACAUGAUAUAAUCUUAUGAUAAUAAAUCCUUAUUAUCUAGAAUUAUAAAUUAUUUCAUUCCAAUUAUUUUUUAGUAUACAAAUAUCUAAUUACAUAAUUUAUCUAGAUUUAACCAUGGACAAUGAAUAACCAUUUAAAAUCAAAUCAUAAUAGUCCAUUUCUUCGGACCACGCAACUAGCUCCUCUCCACUUCUUCCAAAGUCUUCACAAAAGAUUCUUACUUCCACUUGGGAACCUUUUGUUAAAUUUUUAAUUCUAUAAUACUUUCUCAUUGCAAAAUUAGGGUCUUUUUAAUUUUUAAUUCUAUAACCCAUAAAAACUUAACAAAUAAAUACAAUUUUAUAGAUUUAUUAUAUAUAUAUAUAUAAAAUGUUCACUAAAACAUUGUCAUCUUUUAACAAAAAAACAUAAUUUGUAUUUUUAUUAUAUAUGAAAUUUAUCAUUACAUUAUUUAUUGAAACAAUUAUCAUCCUUUAUUUUGUAUUUAUUUCUUAUAAUUUAGUUUUUUUUUGAAGUGAAAUAAAAUUGGUGUGAAUUUUUAAAAUAUUAUAAUUUAUUGAUAAUUUUUUUCAAAUAUUAAUAUUCAUUUUUAAUGAAAAAAUAUAGUUCAAAUGUGUAUUUAAAAAUUAACAACUUCACAAUCUUUUAAUAAAAGAUUAAAAAAACAAGUCCAUAGGAUUUGUUUUCUUUCAUGGUUUUAUCUAUUAUCUGAUAUUAUCCUUAACAAAAUGAAUUUAUAUUAAAAAAAUAUUAGUUUAUAAGAUAACAACAAAUCAAUUUACCAUAUAACAUAAAUUAAUAAAACCACUAGGAUAUUUUAAAGGGAGAAUUAUCUUUUGGAGGUAGAUGAGCUCCCAAAUUAACAAAAGGUCCAUAUAACUCUUCAAAUUGAGUUGAAGGAUAUGAAAUAGUAACGGACAAAUAUACCCUUUAAGAACACAUAUAAAAUAUUUUAUUAAAUUAAGUUAAAUAAUUUUUUUUCAAUAAUUUUUUUUUUCAAAAAUACUAAGUUAAAUAAAAAUAGUUUUCAAAAAUAUUAAAUUAAAUAAUUUUUUUUUCAAAAAUGUUAAAUUAAUUUUUUUUUCAAAAAUACUAAAUUAAAUAAAAGUAGUUUUCAAAAAUAUUAAAUUAAAUAAUUUUUUUUCAAAAAUAUUAAAUUAAUUUUUUUUUUCAAAAAUAUUAAAUUAAAUUAAAUUAAAGUAUUUAAAAAAAUUAUUAAAUUAAAUAUUUUUUUAAAUAUUAAAUUAAAUAAAUUUAUUUUUUAAAAAUAUUAAAUUAAAUAAAAGUAUUUUAAAAAUAUUAAAUUACACAAAAGUAUUUUUUAAAAAUAUUAAAUUAAAUAAAAGUAUUUUUUCAAAAAUAUUAAUUUUUUUUCUCAAAAUCAAUAAAGGGCAUUUUUGGAAAUACUGAAGGAUGAUAUCUUCAACUCAAUUUCCAUACUUUUAUUGGGUUUUGGGCUCAAUUUGAAGAGUUAUAUGAACCUUUUGUUAAUUUGGGGGCUCAUCUACCCCCAAAACAUAAUUCUCCCUAUUUUAAACACUAGUGAUUUGUUUUUUCAAAAUUAUUUUUGAAAAAUUAUCCAAAAGUCUACAUUUUUUUAAAUAACCAAAAUGUUAAGGUUUAAUCAUAUUUUAUUUUUUGAAAUUAAUUUUCUAGAUAGAAAUAAGGUCUCUAUUAUUUUUUUAAGUAAUCACUUUGACUUCAAAGAAAAAUGAUAUUAGAAAAUAAUAUGAUUCAACCCAUAAACUUAAUUCCUUUAAGUUCUAACUAAUGAGAAACAUACACAUGCAAUAAUCUUAUUAUGAUAGAUUAGUUUCUUCCAAUUUUUUUUUAAAAUUUUUAUUAUACAAAUAUCUAAUAACUUUAUUUGCCGAGAUUUAAUCAUGGAUAAUGAUUAACCAUUUAAAAUCAAAUCAUAAUAAUCCAUUUUUUUCUUGAUCAUAAUCCACUAUAAAGAAUAUUUUGUUUUUUUGAAUGAAGUGUAGACCACAUUAUAAAGUUUGUCAAGUCAAAUAGUCAUAUCAAUAAUAAAUAAUCAUUUUAAAAUCAUAUUAGAAUAGUUUGUAUUUUUUUUAUGACCCAUCAAUUUUGUAUGCUGUGUAGACUACGUUGUUUGAUUAUGAUUGAUAAUAAUGAAACUUUAUUCUCUAUGUAAUAUUGAUCAUGUUAUCAAGUCAAAAAGAUAAAUCGUGGUCAAGUAAAACAUCCUUUAAAAUUAAAAAAAUUAAAAAUCAAAAGACCUUGACUCAUUCAAAAUUAUGGGUUUUGAAGGUUGGAAGUUAAAAUGGAGAUGGAAAAACCAAGAAAAAAGGCCCAUAUAGUGGCCCAGAAAUUAGGCCCUUGCAAAGAGAAAAAAGAAAAUUAAAUAAAAUAAAAUUUCAAAUGGCCCAAAAGUUGCCUAGAAAAUGGGCCGAAAUAGGGGCCAGAAAACUGUCCCUUUAAGAGAAAAAAAGGCUUCAUAAAAAUUAUAGGGAGGCCCAAAAUUGGCCCAGAAAUUGGGCCCAGGGAUGGGACCCAUAAGAGAGCCAAAAAGGCUGGCUAGGAGGGGACAAAAAAGGGCAAACUGGCCCAACCCAUGAAAAUGGGCCAAAAUUAGGCCCAGCCCAUUUUUAUUGGGGUGGGUAUGGUGGUGGUGGGCUUCGCUUGGGUGUGGGUGAGGGGAGGAAGAGGGGAGUGUUGCCUUAUGACACGGUGCCAUGUGGCAGCUCCAAAAAUACAAAAAUAAAUUUUAAACAAGGGAGGCCCAGAGAUGGGACCCUUAAGAGAGCCCAAAAUGCUAGCUGGUGGGGAAUACAAAAAUAAAAAAAUAAAUAAAAAGGGCCAAACUGGCCCAGCCCAGGGAAAGAGUUUAAUUAUUUUUUAAAUUAUUUGUAAUAAUAAAAUUAUUAUUAUUAAUUUAUUAAAAACUAUUUAUUUUUAAUUUAGUUAUAAUAAUGAAGUUUUUUUUUAUUUGUAAUAUGAAUUGAAUUAAAUUAAAUUUAUAUUAUAUAAAUUCAAUUUACAAAAUCAAAAUAAAAAAUUAUUUUUAAAAACAACUUAUAUAAAAUCAGUUUUUUGUUUUUUAUUAUUUGAAGAGUGUAUUUAAAAACAGUUUACACAAAGGGAAUCAAAAUACCCUUCAAUGAUGAAUUGAAUCCCACUUAUAAGUGGAAAUUUAUUUAUUUGCUGGAAUCAUUUUUUAUUUCAUUCUCAUUGCAAACAUUAUAAUGAAUGAAUUCAACAUUUCAAACAUGAUAAUGGUAAAUAUAUUUUAAUAAAUCUAUAAAUUUUAAAACUUAACAAAUAAAUACCAUUUUAUAAAUUUUAAAAACUGAUAAUAGCGUAAUCAUGGGUUAUAAGUAUACUUUUCUUUGGUUAAAAGAGUUUUAUAUAAUAUAUAUAGUUAUAAUUAAAGUGCUUCAAAGUUAAAAGGCCUUCUAAAUACUCUUUUAGCUCCAAGGGUUGUUCUUUGUAAGGUUUGGAAUAAAUUUUUUGCUUAUAUAUUAACUUAUUAAUUUUCUUGCAAAAUAAAAGGAGUCUUCUUUUCUCAUUAAAAUAAUUUGAGUCAUUUUUCCUUCUCAUUACGCUACAACAAAUGUGGGCUUUUUCUAUGUACUAAUUUGUACUUAAAAAAGAGCAUUUCUGGGUUGUUGCUAUAAUCAUUUUUUACCAUAACAAAUGAAUUUUAUAGCCAAAAGAGGUUAAAUUUUGCCAUAACAUGUUAUUUUUCACCACAAAAUAAAACUUGUACCAACACAUCACUUUUUUCCACAAAACAAAUUCACUUCACUUCGGUCAUGAUUUGGAUCCAAUCCACUUUGGUCAAGCUGGGAAAUUUAUACUCUAGAUGUAUACUCUAGGUUCCCAACAGGUUUUACCACUUGUGGUUUAGACAGCCAUUCAUCCUUGAAGAUGCUUCCCGACACAAAUAACUAAUCAUGCUGUUAAAAUUAUGCAAUCAGCCUAGAUGGAUAAGAAUGAGAAAAUUCAGAAAUGACAAAUACAAUAAAGAAUGUUGUCGAAAUUACCCAAUCAAGACGAUAGAUGCAUUCCUCUUUCGGCCUAUAAGUAGUGUUGCUUCUUCCAAGGCAACAAUUCCAAAACUGUAAACAUCUGCUUCUUCCACUGCAAAAUGCGAGUUUGAUUUUACACAAAUUUUCCAUUUGAAAUGAAGGAUAAACACUGGAGAUCAAAAGAAAAAACUUCUAGGAUGUGGUUUCCAAAGUGACAUCAGUUGAAUGGGCAAUCAUAGACUAGAAGAAAAACAAGUUGAAUGCCUUGAUGGUAUUUUUCACAAAAGUUUAGGGAGCUCAAGUGCCUACUGUAGGAAAUUCCUAGUUUUUAUUCCACUGAGUGCAAGGCUAAAAUUUUGGGGGGCUUUGGUUGGGUAUAGGUUGGUUUAGUCCCAAUCGACAUUAACCUAACCCAAUUUAUCAAGUCCAGGAAUCACAAGGAGAAUUCCUGCCUGAAACCAUUUGGAAAAUUAAAGGCAUAAAUGCCAUGUUCAAGCAUUAGUCAUUCCAAUACUUUCUUAUUUUCAUAAGUACUAAGCAGAUUAGGACCAUCAAAUCUAGAACUACAUUCUACUCUCAUUGCUCUCAAAACAGAUUAGCUCAAACUAAUUAUAAAAAAAAAUGAUAUUUAAUUCAAAAUUAACCCUUGUGCAUCCUUAUGAAUAACAAGUUGUUUUACACAUGAAAGGGGCACAAUCUGUGAUGGGAGCACAAAUCAAGGGACCUAAAAGAGUUCCUUGUUUGUGUUGACUGAGCCACCACUUAAAAGAUCAUAUUUUCUUAGGUUGACGAUGAUGGCAAGGUUUUAGAUUUUGAAUGCAUCAGAGAACUUGGAUGGAGGCAAAGAUGCUAAUGGUUAUUCUUGAAUGACCCUUUACUAUUCUGCGAGCAAUGACUCUCUGCCCACCCUUGGUUGCCUUGCUGCUCAUUUGUUGAAAAGGAAAACAUAAGUAAAACCUACACAUUUCUACUUUUUAACUUUCCAUUCUCUUAUAUGCAUGAAAUCUAAGAUAAUCAGAACACACAUCACAAAAAGAGGGCCUGAAAACAGAUCCUUGGUCCAAAAAAGAGGAGGACCAUGCUGAACAAUAUCUAGCCCGUUAAUGCAAGAUAUUGCAGCAUAACAUGAAAGAGAUUGAGUGAAACAAAUUUUUCAUGGUAAUUCCCAGAAUCAUAAGAAGUAUGAAGUAUGAAAUGCCAUGAGAGAUUCAUCACUGAGAGAUUCAUCACAAAAUAUACUUCAAAUCAAUUUGCAUACUCUCUAAUGGUAGCAUGUUAUCCUCUAGUUCAUUAUUUUCAUUAAUUGACACAGAAUCAGUAGAAAUAGAAUCAGAUUUUACUUGAAACCCUAAAACAGGGCUGACCUUAAAUUCCUGGUUGUUUGGAUCAAUAGACUUGAGCAUGAAGUCAUUAUGUCUAGACUUUGAAUCCUCCUCCGGCUAGGGCUUUGAAGCCCCACUCUCCUUCUAGGUUUCAUUGUUCUGCUCCUCUUGCCCACUUUGUGCUAUUUCAGAUACCACACUCUCACUAACCAUAGUGCUAGUUUCGACAAAAAUUACAUUUCCUGAAUAAAAUUUCAUUGAAAGAAUAUUAAAUUCUAUUAAUCAUGCAAAGUAAAAAUAAGACUAACUAAACAUUAGUUGCUGAAAAAUAUAAGAUAGGUGCACUACUUGAACUAUUGACUGUGAACCUGCUAAGACAUCAAAUUUUCUACCUUUCUUUCCAGAAAUUCUAAUAUGAUUCUGCACAACUCAACUAGAAUAACAUUAAAAUCUAGGCCAUUGAAUUUUUUACUUUUACAUGGGCUGCAUAUAUAUCCAGAUUAAAACCAUAUAAGUUGCAACACAAUAGCAUAACAACUAAUUCGUAGAUGGUCAUUCAGAAACAAUCAUCAGCCAAUUUAUGUGAAAUGAAAUGAAAUUCUGAAACCAUAGUACCCUGUUUGGAUACCAAGAAAAUAUAAGAAAAAUAAAAAAUAAUAAUAAUGAUAAUGGUAAUAAUAAUAAUAGUAAUCCAAAUCCUGAAUGCCAAAUCGUUCAUCAUUAAUUUCUCCCACGGAAUUAAACCUAUUAUAAGCACUUGACAUUAGUUGAGAGCGAAUUUUCAUUUUCAAAAAACCAGAAGAAAAUACGACACACAAUCAUGAAAAUUUCUCCCCCUCCCCCUAUCAAUUUCCUCUCGGUUUUCUCUGCAACCAAACGAAGGGUAAGGGUUUUUGAAAAAACUAAUAAAAAAAAAUCAAGAUAGAAGUGUUGACGAUUCCAUGCAAUAAAACAAAAGGAAUUGCUUAUGCGAGUAUAGAGAGGGAACCUUCAAAUCGAAGCUUUUCCUCUUCCAGAUUCUUCUUCUAAUCAUCAACACCGUCCAUUUCAAUAAAUUUCAGUCAAAUAUACAGAUAAUAUUAGACGCUUAGAUGCUGAUAGAGAGAGAAAGUAGAAAUUGUAAAAUUUUUAAAUCCAUCGACACUGCUAGAAACUUCCAAGCAAAUCAACAGCAACAGUGGUGACAAAAUUGAAUUUUUAUACAAAUACAAGUGCUAGGACUAGGCGGCUUCAAUAUCACUCUACAAAAAUUCAAAAUUCAAAUUGAAUUUUCUUUCAUUUUCCUAAACCUUCACGGCAACCAAACGCGAGUUGGGGCUAAACGUCUCCACACCACACCCUAAAAACUCCAAACAUCAAGAAUAUGAGACAAUCGACAAUGAAAACUCUAAAUAUCCAAAGAGAAAAAACAGAGAAUUGAAGAGAGAGUUAGAGACCUAGAUAGGUUGAUUGACUUGAGAGAGGUGAUCAGAGGAGAGGUGAGGCAAGAGGCCAAGCAGUGCGGAGAGAGCCAUCUCCGAAAAGCCGCCCCCAUUUUAUUCAAAAAAUGGAUUCGGUUAAGCUCUGGAACCCCCACCACCACCACCACCAUCACUACACCACCGUCGCCUCGGUACUCAGAUGCAGACUAUAAUUAAAUUUUCGAAGAUGAUGACUCUAUGAUUGAGUACUAAAUGUUUGCAUGCAGUGAAAAAACUAACUUGUUUAUUUAAAAUAGAAUAGUAUUAACGGUUAUUAAUUUAUAAUAAAAUAAAUCAACUAUACUUUUAUAAGGAUAUACACUAAUAUCUGUAUUUUUAUAAUAUUUAUAUAAAUAGAAUUUAUGAUUUUACUAUAAUAUUAUUAUUCAUAUUUUAUUAAAAUUAUUUUAUUUUUUUAAUUUAUUUAUAAUUAUAAAAUUAUUUUUAUUUGUAAUAAGACUUUAAUUAAAAUUAGUUUGUAUUAUAUAAUUGAAUUAAAAAAAAAAAUAUUUGACAAAACAACUUAUUUCAACAAGUUUUUUAUUUUUGAUUUUUUUUUAAAUAUAGAGAAUUAAAAUACCUUUUGUAAAAGAUUAAUUGAAAUCCCACUAAAUUUAUCAUAAACAAAUAUUAUUAAUUAAUUUAUUUUGUAUUUAUUUGUUAUAAUUUAAUAUUUAUUUUAAAGUAGAUAAAAAAAUUUGUGAUUUUUUAAAACAUUAUAAUUCAUAGUUAAAAAUUUUCAAAUAUUAAUAUUCAUUUUUAAUUAAAAAUUAUAGUUCAAAUGUUUGUCUAAAAAUUAACAAUUUCACAAAAUUUUAGUAAAAUAUAAAAAAUAGAUAAAAAUAUUUAAAUGAUUUUUCAAUAGCAUGACAUUGUCAAAUAAUUUAAGUUUUUGCAGUUCAUUUGUUUUGUAUCAUUGUUUUUAUCUUUUAUCUAAUAUUAUUAUUGGCAAAAUGAAUUUAUAUUAAAAGAACUAGUUGAUGAGAAUUUACAACAUUUAUAAUUUAUAUUACCAAAUUUCAAUAUUAAUAUCUAAAUUUUAUAAAUUUUACAAAAAGAAAAAUUUAAUAAUAUAUAUGAAAUUAUUUAUUAAAACAAUUACUAUUCAUUUAUUUCUUAUAAGUUAAUAUUUGUUUUCAAGUAGAUGAUUUUUUUUUUUUGUGAAUUUUUAAAAUAUUAUAGUUCGUAGUUAAAUUUUUUGAAAUAUUAAUAUUCAUUUCUAAAAUUGUUCAAAUGUUUAUCUGAAAUAAAACAAUUAGUGAAAGAAAAAUUAUUUUUAAAAAAUAAUUAGCUAUUUUCUCUUAGACAAUUAAGUAAAAAACAAAAGGUCUAGCUUUGAUACCAAUUAUGAAAAAAAGCUAUUUUGAUUUAGAUAAUCAUUCAAGAGUGGGGUGAAUUAGGUAUUGAAACUAUUUUAAAAAAUAAUCAACUUAAGCAAGUUAUGUAAAGGAUAAGAAUGAAUAGAGAGUAAUAUUAAGAAAUUAAGGGAAUAAUAUUGCAAAUUGUUUUAUAAUGGUUUGAGAAGCUGCCUAUAUCCACUCUCCUCAAGCUGGUUACACUUAAGUAGUGUUUGUUUUUUUGGCUUUUUGCUGAAAGCAACUUAUUUUCAGAAGUUAGGUCGUUUGUUUUUAUACUUAGGUGCCCAUUUUUGGGAUUUGACUUGAUCCUGGUAACCUGUGGUUUUAGAGAAAUUCCUUGAUUACUCUUCUUUUGUUUCUAGACACCAAUCCUCUGCGUUCUGACUGAUGAUCUUCAUUCAAAUAUUUUGACAGUCAAUGAGCACCCUUACAACUCCUGUUAAGCCUCAAUCCUGGUGAUCCUCCGGAUUCAAUUUAGCAGGUUUGUACGUCCUGCUUAAAGUACACCUUACACUUGAACCUUAUGUGGGAGAGACAAUCCUCACUGUGCUUGACAAGCUUGACAUUCCUAGGGGCCAAUACAGAUUCAAUAUCUUCUCCUUACAAAAACAAGGACUUGCUAGAUUUCAGCCAAAAUGACUCAAGUUGGGCCCUGAAGCCCUUUGAAACACCCUUUCAGGUGGUUAAGAAAGCAAAAGGUGUUUGGUCUGUUAAGCUGACAAGUUUUCUAGAAAAACCAAGUAAUAGAACUUUCUAGGAUUUUUCAUUUGCUUCUUCAACACUGUCUUUGACUGUUGAUAAAUUCCUGCAGUCAUGACUGUAAUCGCAAGUUGUUAUUAGUCUGGCAAUUUGUUCUAUAUUCCCUAGUUGAAAUUCAAUUGCCCAUUUUUGGGAUUUGACUUGAUCCUGGUAACCUGUGGUUUUAGAGGAAUAAUUUAUAUUUCAUAAUGUAUCUCUAGGAAAUGAUGCGGUCAAGUUCCUAGAUCCAGAUUCAUACAACAAGACUGGGGGUUCUGCUUCUGCUCAAACUCAGUCAAUGGAGCCUCUUGAGUCGAAAAACAAUNUUAGACNNNNNNNNNNNNNNNNNNNNNNNNNNNNNNNNNNNNNNNNNNNNNNNNNNNNNNNNNNNNNNNNNNNNNNNNNNNNNNNNNNNNNNNNNNNNNNNNNNNNNNNNNNNNNNNNNNNNNNNNNNNNNNNNNNNNNNNNNNNNNNNNNNNNNNNNNNNNNNNNNNNNNNNNNNNNNNNNNNNNNNNNNNNNNNNNNNNNNNNNNNNNNNNNNNNNNNNNNNNNNNNNNNNNNNNNNNNNNNNNNNNNNNNNNNNNNNNNNNNNNNNNNNNNNNNNNNNNNNNNNNNNNNNNNNNNNNNNNNNNNNNNNNNNNNNCGAGCCAUGCUAAAAUUCUAGGCCUGCGGCCCGGCCUAUGAGCCCGCGGGCUGGGCCGCGGGCCUUUUUAAAUAAGCCAAAAUGGAAGGGAAGGGAGAGGGGGGGAUUUGAACCCCUCCCCUCAUGCUUAAAUUUCAAGGCUCUAACCAACUAAGCUACAUUCCUUUUAUGCUUAUUAAUUGAGUUAGUUAUAUAUAUAUAUAUAUAUAUAAAUAAAGUAUAUUAUUUUUUUAAAAAAAAUUAAAGGCUCCAACCCAUGUGGGUCAUGUGACCGUUGGAGCUAAGCCUCCAACGGUCACAUGGGCAAUUUUUUUUUUUUUUUUAAAAAAGCCUUCCUAUAAAUACAUUUUCUUCCUUUUCAUUUUUUCAUCAAAUUCUCUCCAUUUCUCUCACAUUCUACAAUAUUUCAAAUUCUUUUAUUUUUCCCUCAAAUUAUACAAUAUUGUUGGAGGUGCAAAACAAGCAUUGGUGGCUCCAAGAGUUCAAAUUUGCUAGGAAUUUCUGCAUCGGUUCUCUAAUUGAGUAACAUACUUCACCCCUACUACUUUAUUUUUUUGUUACAUUUUUUUUAUAUUUAUUACUUUAUUAUUUUUGGCAUAAUAUUUUAUCAAUAAUUAUAAUAUGACAAGUGCUUCUUCAUCUAGUCCAUGUGAUGAAAUAUCAUCAAACAAAAAAUUUACUUCAAAUAUAUGGAAUUUUUUUGAUAGAAUAGAAAUAAUUUUAGAAAAUAAUAAAAAAAAAAUAAAAGCAAAAUGUAAAAUUUGUAAUAAAUUUCUUACUGGUGGCUCAAAUGCAGGCACAAGUCAUUUAAAAAGACAUCAUGAAAAUUGUAAAACUAAAAAUAAUGUAGAUAUUAGAAAUUAUAUGCAAUUAGGUAAAAAUGAAAGUGGAAAUUUAAAAACAUUUUCUUAUGAUGAAUCUAACUGUCGUGAAGAAAUGGUUGAUUAUAUAAUAAGAGCAGAACAACCUUUCAACAUGAUAGAAACUCAUGAUUUUGCAGGAACAAUUCAACGAGGUAUUAAUCCUCAAUUUAAAGGUUGGUCUGGAAAUACAGUUAAAAGAGAUAUUAUGAAAAAAUUUUAUACACAAAAAGAAAUUUUAAAAUUUUUUUUUGCAAAUUUUGAAGGAAAUAUUUGUUUAACAUCUGAUAUUUGGACAUCUUUAACUCACACUGGUUUUUUAUGUAUAACUGCUCACUACAUUGAUAAUGAAUGGAAAUUAAAUAAAAGAAUAAUUUCAUUUAAAUUAAUAAAUGCUAUACAUAGUGGUAAAAAUAUAGCAUCUUUAAUAAAUAAUAAAUUAUAGAUUUAGGCAUUUGUGAUAAAAUAUUGACAAUAACAUUAGAUAAUGCUGCUAAUAAUGAUGCAGCAAUACAUAGACUAAAAUGAUAUUGGCAAGUAAAAGAAGAUCAUGCUAAAAUAUUUCAUGUGCGUUGUUGUGCACAUAUUUUAAAUUUAAUUGUGAAGGAUGAAUUAAAAAAUGUUGAUAGUACAUUGGAAAAAUUUAGAGGCAUUGCAUAUAGUAUUAAUAGUUCUCAAGCAAAACAUGAAUUAUUUUUUGAUUGUUGCAAAAUGUUAAAUAUGAAAAGAAAAAAUAUAAAUUUGGAUAUGGCCAUUAGAUGGAAUUCCACAUAUAAACUUUUACAAAAUAUUACAAAAUAUAAAAAAGUAGUCGAAUUAUAUGAAAUACAAUUAAUUAACAAUGAUUGUGAAGCAGAUAUUUAUGCAUUAAAUGAUUAUGAUUGGCAUAUUGCGGAUCUUUUAAGAGAUCUUUUUGAAAUUUUUGAUACUUCAACAAACAUUUUUUGUGGUGUAUAUUAUCCAACUUCAAAUCGAGUUAUUAUGCAAAUAACUAAUAUUUUUAUUGUACUUCAAAAAUAUUUAAGUUUUGAAAUGUUUAAUGAUACAAUAUUUGCAAUGAUAGAAAAAUUUAGAAAAUAUUGGGGAGAAAUACCUUUAAUUUUUUAUAUUGCUUUAAUUGUGGACCCUAGAUUGAAAUUUGAAGCUUUGGAUGAAUGGUUAACAAUUAUUUAUUUUAAUGACCAAAUAAAAAUUGAAGAAAUUAAAAAUGAAAUAAAUUCAUUAUUAUAUAAUUUAUAUAACUAUUAUAAAGAAAAAUAUGGUAAUGAUACUAAUACUAUUAAAUUACCACAUACAUCUACAAACUCCUCAUCUUUUUAUAAAGGAGCUCUAGAAAUGUUGAAAAGUCAAAAAAAGACAACAAAUAGUUCUCCAAAUAAUACAUUUGAUUUAGAUAAAUAUCUUAAUACUGAUAUAAUUUCAUUUGAAGAUCAAGAAGAUUUUGAUAUUUUAAUAUGGUGGAAAUCACAUCAACACAAAUAUCCUGUGCUUUCUAUAAUUGCUCGUGAUGUACUAACAGUUCCUGUGAGUACAGUUGCAUCAGAAGCUGCUUUUAGUGCAGGUGGAAGAGUAGUUAGUAAAAAACGAUGCAACUUAGCGCCAGAUGUUAUUGAAGCAGGGAUAUGUGUGAAAUAUUGGAAAAUAGCAGAUAAAAAGAUGUAUGAUUCAAUUCGAGAAACAGAGAUGCUUGCCGAUAUGGAAUCUUUAAAAUUAUCAAGAUCUUCAUGGAUGCAUGAUAGUUCGCCAUCAUCGCCAGAAAAUAAUGACUAAAUGUAUAUUAUAUUUUUAUUUUUAUUUUUUGUGGUUGAAAAAUACAGAUGAUUGACAAAUAAAUAGGUGCCAACCUAGUUGGGAUGUAUUUAUUUUGUAGUGAUGUAAACUUUUCCCACAUUUUUAAAUGUAAUUAUACAUUCAAUGAAUAAAAUUUUGAAAUGAAUAUUUUUUUUAAUACUUUUUAUUUUUGUAGUUUUUUUUUUAAAGGGGCGGGUCGGCCCGCCGGGCCUAAAUUUAGGCCUGCGGCCCGGCCCGCCCAUAAACGGGCUCGGGCCGAGCUUGGGCCCGGCGGGCUUGGGCCGGGCUUUAGUCUGUCGGGCCGGGCCGGGCCUAAAGAGGGCCGUGGGCCGCGGGCCUUUUGGAGACCCUUAGGUUAUACCAAUAAAUAAGUAUUAGCUCAAAAGUGAUGCAAAUUGUGGGUAUGUUGUUUAAGAAUAUAUACAUUUUCUUUUUUAUUUUCAUCCUUUAAGGCUAUGAUAUAUUUAGAGUCCAUUUGGUAGUGAUUCUAUAAAGCGCUUUUAAUAUUUGAAAUUGAAAAUUUUUGCUAAUUAUUUUAAAUAUUUUUUUUGGAGCUAUUAUUAAUUUUAAAAUAACUCUAUUAUUUCUAUUUUAUGUAGAAUUAUUAUUUUCUAUUUUUUUAACCUAGCAAAUAAGUUUCAAAUUAAAUGAGGCUUAAUGUGUUAGAUUCAUUAACAAGUUUAUUAAUUUUUGAAAAUAAUUUGAAACUCAAAUAAUAAACUCAUUAAUACUAGAAAUUUAUGGAUAAAUUUUUUUUCAUAAUGACUAUUAUUUUUUUCUACACAUAAUUAUAUUUUAAUAAAAUUUCUCACUAUAAAAAUGAACUUCAAAUUGACACUUUGUAUUAAAUUUAUUAAUAUGUUAAACAAUUUUCAAAAAUAAUUUGGAACUAAAAAAAUAAGUACAAUCAUAAAAAAAAAACAAUAGAUUAAAACUAAUAUAUUAUGAAUCAUAACUUUACUGUUUCUUCUAUAUAUACAAAUAUAUUUUUUGAAUUUAGGUAAAUAAAUUAUAAUUUGAGUAAGACAAAUUAAUAAUUUAAGUUCUUUAAUGAAUUUUUAAAUUUUUAAGAAUAAUCUUGAAUUCAUAAUUGCCCUCCUCCUAUGAGAAUGGCAUAUUGCCCACCAGUACACAAAAUAAAACCGAUGGAAGUAGGUAGAAAAUUAUUUAGGAAGAACCACUCAGAUUAUGCAGUAUGGUAAUGUACAUCAAUAAGUUGGAUAAUCAGCUAUAAAGUUGUAAUUUCCAUAAUGUUAUAAUGAUCUUCUACAGAGUAUCUGAAAAUAAGUUGAUGCUGAAACUUGUCAUAUUUUCAUAUGCCUUUCAAAGAUGGAUCCCUUUAGUUAGUCAAUAAUUGAUACUGGUCAAUUUCAAGUAUGCUUAACUGUUAUUCCUAAUUCUUUGUGAUGAAUCAAUCCUCACUAGUGAAAUGAUUAUGUAUCUGAAGUUUGAGACAACAACACAUUAGCAUCAAUAAAUUCUUGGAUGUAUGAUGGAGUUGUGAGUUUUCACAAUGGCCUACUGCUUCAUCUAUUACAUAAUGGUUUUUCUUUCACUUGGUUAAAUGUUUGUGUGAUUAUUUUUGGCUUAUUGGUUGGUCAAUCAAAUAUUGAACCCUUUUAAGUUGGUUCCUACAUCUAAAACUAAAUUGUUCAUGAAGUUUCUGAUUGCCUCAUCCUGUCUUUUCCAUUUAUGCAUGUAGGUACAAUGAAUUUGAUCAACCUGUCUGUAGGGUCUGUGAUGUCAUUUUGAAAUCUGAAUCCCUAUGGGAUGCACACCAAGCUUCUCGUAAACAUCAUGAGGUGAUGCUUACUGUCCUAGUUAUGUUAUGAAUAAAGCUAUUGACAAAUUGCAUUCAGAGGUUCUAUAGCAUGUACAAUCACACACGACACAAAAGAUUAUUGUAAUUUCAUUCCUUUAUGAUAGAUAAAUUCUAAAAUAAGAAUGCAGUGAAAUCAUGUAUGAAGAUAUCUACAGAUUGUCACACUCAAGAGUCGAUACAGUAGAAGAAAAACAUUUGUCUUUGUAUUUACAGAUUAACAUGUACAUCAAAAUGCAAUGAAUAUUGUCUAUCAAAAAAAAAAAAAAAAAAUACAAUGAACACAUGUAUUUGUGUAUCUAUUUAUACAUGCUAUUGAUUAUUUGCAUGUCAAAAUCAGGUUGUUUGAUUUUAAAAGAUUCUAUAUGGAUUCAAAAGAUGUAUGUGCUAGGGUCUUAUCUUUGCUACUGAAGCUAUACUUUUAAUAUGCUUUGUUUUUUUUUUUUUUUUUGAAAUUUAAUGCACGUUUCCUCUUAUAUAUUACUUUUAUGUUUAUUAUCUAUACAUAAUUAACAAUUCAUGAUGAUAUCAUCGAUCAUUAUUUUCCUGUGUUUCAUAUUGUAUCCUAAGUGGAAAUAUCAUUGAAAUCCUUCUAUACUUGUGUAAAAAAUAAACAGCUGUCAUGCAUAGAUUAUCGCAUAGUGUAUAAUUAUAAUUUUGUUUUUAAACAAAACAAACAAAAUAGGGUCUGCAACCCUACUCAGCAGCUGCCCAGUUGACAGCUCCAAUCUGGCUCUAUGCACCUAAAGAUUAUUUUGUACUUAAAAGGAACAAUUUAAAAAAAACACAAAAAGAAGAAAAUAUUUUUAAUCUGUCGUUGGAUGAAACAGGGUGAAUGAGCCCUAUCAGGGUAUAAGGUUUUUUUUUUUUUUUUUCAGUUUUUUUUUUUUAUCAUAAACAAUAAUUCGUUGAUAAGGAUUUGAAAGUACAUUUGAAGGAUGAGAAUUCCUUCCUGAAAAUAAAAAUUUUGAUUAAACAUAAACAAAUGGAUGAUUUCCCAAAAUGCAAAACGAGACCUCAAUAUAUUGCCAAAAGAAACCAUAGAAAGGAAAGACUAUCUCUAUGGGCUGAAGCUUUGCUCUAAGCUUAACUAUUUUGACUUUUAUGAUUCACACACCAAAUUCUAAUUGAGCUAGAGUCCCCUUGAAAGCUGUAGUUGUUGGGCCUCAAAAAGAGGAAUAGAGAUAAAUUAGGUUCCAUAUAGAUUUUGUAGUUCUCCACUUAUCCUAAAAAAUCUUUACAUUUCUUGUCUUCCAAUUUGCCAAAAUUUUUUGCCUCUAGAAUAAAGUGCUCCUCAAACCUCUAAAGGAUAUCGUCAUCAUGUCACCUAUGCUCCUAGGAGGAAUCCUAUUAAGUCUUAAAAGCUUGUUCCAUAGCCCCAAAGUCCUAGGGCAGUGUAAAAAGAGCCUGUGCCAUACCCUAUGCCUUGCAGUGUAUAAGUUGUGGGCUUAUAGUUAGCAAUUUGAUGUUUUUUCUUAGAAAAAAACUGAAUGCCACAAUUAUGGAGCUUCUUCAACCCAUAGGAAUUUUCUUUUAUCUUUGUCAAGCUUCUUCAACCCUUUUUCUUUUGAAACCUGCCCCUUCUUUUGAGCCCCACAGCAAUGCUGGCAAGAUUGCACAUUCAGAUUCUUCAUCAAACCCUUUAUAAAAAAAAAAAAAAAUAAGGAAAGAGAAAAUGGAAAAUGAUCUGCAUCUUUUUGAUCUGAUGUCUCGCAAAGUGUAAAGAACCCAUGCCUAGAGAAAAGAAAAAACAGCAAAACCAGCCCCAAAAAGGUUGUAAACAAGUCACCUAUUUGCAAAGAACUCGUGACUUGCAUCUUUUGUGCAACUCCUAAUGCACCUAAGUCACGUACAAUGUAAAAAAAUGCAGUCUAGAGUGCUUACAAGGUAUAAUGCAUGAAAAUAGGAUAAAUAAAAGUGAACUGAAACUUUAUUAAAUAAAUAAUAAAAAUCCACAUGUUUAUUACACCAUGUCAUGCUUUUAAGGGCUUUAUCCUAACAAUUGAGUCAUUCUUUCUUUAUCUACAUUUCAAAAUUCUUUCUUUUAGGAAUCCUUCCUUGGAUAGAGUUUUUUCCCUUUGUUUUUCUCAAACUUGAUUAACUUCUUAAAACUUUCUUGUGAUGGGUACAAGGUCCUCAUCUUCUUCACUAGCUUUUUCUUCUUCAUCAUCAAUGGUGGAGGCUUUAAGAGCAAUAUUUUUCUUCUUCUAAUCUUUCACUUCUUGAUGACUCUUCAUGAGUCAUCAAGGAUCCAAUCAAUUCCUCCAAAGGAAGUUUUGUAAGGUCCUUAGCUUAUUGGAUAGUCAUAACUUUGGCUUCUCAUUUCUUACAAAGAAAUCUUAGAAUCUUCAUGACCUCCUCUAAUUCCUUGUAAACCUUUCCCAAAGCUUGGAAUCCAUUAAUGAUGUCAGCAAACAUCUCAACAAUAGUUUAUUAUCUUUCGUAGAAAUAACUCAUAAUUAAGCACAAGAAUAUUGAUUUUAGAGUCUUUAACUUGAUUUGUCUCUUCAUAAGUUAUUUCUUAAAAUCUCCAAAUAUCAUAAGUGGAUUCACAUUGGCAAACCUAGUUAUAUUUAUUUCCUAUCAAUUGUACAAUGUAAACAUUAAUAGAUAUCUUUAGCAUUUAAAUGAGCUUUUCUUUUGUUAAACUCAUCCCACUUUUAGCUAGGUUUAGGUAUAACAACUUCAUUCUCAAUUUGGUUUAGAAUAUGGGGACCAUUUUGGAUGAAAAAGAUCAUAAUCAAUGGAUUUAAAAAUAAUGUCGUCCUAGUUUCCCAAUAGAAGUAAUUGAUUCCCAAAAAGAACAAAUAUAUAUUAAUCGAAAACCCUUCCAUAUAAGAUGAGUUGGAAGAAUUAGGUAUUUUCUCUUAGACAAUUAAGUAAAAAAACAAAAGGUCUAGCUUUGAUACCAAUUGUGAAAAAAAGCUAUUUUGAUUUAGAUAAUCAUUCAAGAGUGAGGCGAAUUAGGUAUUGAAACUAUUUUAAAAAAUAAUCAACUUAAGCAAGUUAUGUAAAGGAUAAGAAUGAAUAGAGAGUAAUAUUAAGAAAUUAAGGGAAUAAUAUUGCAAACUCUUUUAUAAUGGUUUGGGAAGCUGCCUAUAUUCAUUCUCCUCAAGCUGCUAAUAGGGUGAAGGUUACACUUAGAUUCCAAGGUUCCAAUAGACCUUUACAAACUCUUCAAGUAAAAUGCCUACUUGAAUACUUCUCUCACAAUAUUAAAUUUUGAAGCUGUAUCCGUAUAGAGGCCAAGGUGUUUUAUGUGUCAGGCUUUUGUUAAUAUACUGCACUGGAAGCUUAAGUGAAAGCUCUUGAGUCAUUUAAUGUUGGGCUCUAAGGUUUAUAUUUGAUAUAUCUCAUAGGAUAGUUCUCAUUUCAGUUACUAUUGGCCAGGUGAAAUUUCCAAUACACAGCUGCUAUUUUAUGGUUCCUAGGUGUAAACUAGUAACGCUUUCAACUUUCUUGUGACUUAUGGAAUGCUGAGUAGAUUGAUGCAAAUUUGAGUGUAUUCAAGAAAAUAAAGAUUUUUGUACAUGGAAUAGUAUAAUCUGUUCAAAAAGGGAAAAAAAAAUACUGCAGUAAUUUUGAAUGUAUGAUAUGAAUGCAACCUAUUACCGAUUCUGAGCAUAUAUUCUAGAGUCCCACCUACCUGAUGCCCAAUAAGCCGGAAGAGUUGCUAAGUCCUUGUUUCUAGCUGUCCACAUACUUCAUGCAAAUCCCCUAUCAUAUUCUUCUUUCUUAGUUUCUUGGGGCAUCUCUAUGUCUGGAGAUUCAUUGCAGAGAAAUUCCUUGAUUACUCUUCUUUUGUUUCUAGACACCAAUCCUCUGCGUUCUGACUGAUGAUCUUCAUUCAAAUAUUUUGACAGUCAAUGAGCACCCUUACAACUCCUGUUAAGCCUCAAUCCUGGUGAUCCUCCGGAUUCAAUUUAGCAGGUUUGUACGUCCUGCUUAAAGUACACCUUACACUUGAACCUUAUGUGGGAGAGACAAUCCUCACUGUGCUUGACAAGCUUGACAUUCCUAGGGGCCAAUACAGAUUCAAUAUCUUCUCCUUACAAAAACAAGGACUUGCUAGAUUUCAGCCAAAAUGACUCAAGUUGGGCCCUGAAGCCCUUUGAAACACCCUUUCAGGUGGUUAAGAAAGCAAAAGGUGUUUGGUCUGUUAAGCUGACAAGUUUUCUAGAAAAACCAAGUAAUAGAACUUUCUAGGAUUUUUCAUUUGCUUCUUCAACACUGUCUUUGACUGUUGAUAAAUUCCUGCAGUCAUGACUGUAAUCGCAAGUUGUUAUUAGUCUGGCAAUUUGUUCUAUAUUCCCUAGUUGAAAUUCAAUUGCCCAUUUUUGGGAUUUGACUUGAUCCUGGUAACCUGUGGUUUUAGAGGAAUAAUUUAUAUUUCAUAAUGUAUCUCUAGGAAAUGAUGCGGUCAAGUUCCUAGAUCCAGAUUCAUACAACAAGACUGGGGGUUCUGCUUCUGCUCAAACUCAGUCAAUGGAGCCUCUUGAGUCGAAAAACAAUUUAGACAGAUUGUCCAGUUCUCACUCUGAAAAGAUGGGAAAAAGUGGAAUUCAUCAUGCCAGGGACCUUACCCAGACAUCAGGAAAGAUUGUUGGUUCAGAAACCAAGGAAGUAAAGGGUGCUCUUCCUGAAGGCUUCUUUGACAACAAGGAUGCUGACCUUCGUGCACGUGGUAUUGUGCCUGUUAAGCCGGAUGUCAAGUAAGUUCUUGCUUCUGUUAUAUAAAUUUAUUUCUUUAAAAUGUCACUAUCAUCUGACAGGGAGUGUAAUAGAUUCUCUGGAAUAGUAUUCCCUUUCUUUGAUUCUUUUAUGUCCUCUAGUACUGUUUCUUUUCUAUCAAAUUAGAGAAACAAGGUCUGAGAGGGUCUCAAAAGUGUGUAAAGAAAAUUUGAGAUUAUAUCUUGUUUGAAGAAUUAUUUUUCAGCACUCACUGGUCCAUCAUUGUCAUUUUUGAAGCUUUGUCAUCUUUUCAUCAUCGUUGUUAUCAUCAUCGUGAUUAUCAUCUUCUAAUUUUUAACCUAAAAACAAAGCAAAUACACAGGUCCUAGGUUGUGCUUAGAAGCUUUAUUUUGGGCAAUUUUAAUUGGUGGAUAAAUUUCAUGAGUCCUUUUUGGAUGCUUGUGGUAGGGUUUGAGUGGGAAAUCUUUAACCUUCUCUUUGAUAAAAAUAUCAUUGGGAAAAAAAAUAGGACUCUGCCUAGUACUCACAGGUGUAUGUGAAUCCUGUACAUCACAACUGUAGUGUAGUGAAAUAAAUCUUGGUAUAAUUUAGCAGGGGAGGGUGUUAGAGAGGACUGGCUGUGUUAAAAACCUUAGUGAGCCUCAGUGGAGGUUUCUCUGAUUCGUGGGGAAGUUUAUUUUUGAUAGCGUAGGGACCUUUUAACCCUACAGCAUAAUGGCAUGUGUUUCAUUGGGUACUUGAGAUGAUCAGAAAUUACCAUGUAUGAUUGCAUUACUUGGAACACUGAAUUAACCUUGUUAAGAAAUGUUAAAUCCUGGUCAGGGACGAGUACAAAGAAUUUGAAAAGUUGAUACAGGAGGAUUUGAAGGAGGUGGACAACCGUUUGGAAGAAGAAGAGGUCAGGAUCAUUUAUUCCUUGCACCAUUCCUAGAACCCAAUAAUGUAGUCUCUGGUGAUGUUUACUAAAGAUUGGAGUUAUAUCAUUAACUUGGUUUUGCAAUUUUAUGAUGUAGUUUGAUGCAGCUGAGAUGAUUGAAGAGGCCGAGUCUGUGGAGCAAAAGUAAGUCAAGUGUGGUCACGAGUAGUGUAUCACUUGGGUUCUCCUAUAUUUCCAAUGUUUUUGAGUUGGCCUUUUGUUUAGGGUGUAUUGGGAGAAAGUGGAAAUGCUGAAGAAGAAGAAAUUGGAGCUGAAGGCGGCUAGAUCCGGCAGACAGAGUAAACAGCCUGAGGUCAGAGGCAAGGGGCAUAGCUCUAAAGAGGAUUCAUCCAGUGAUGAUGAUAGUGAUGGGAAAUUCAUGGUUGAUUGGAGAGCACAACACCUGUGAAUACUUCUGUUUGAAAUUUUCUAUGUCGCCUGUGCAGACAUGUCUAUGUUGGCAUGCAAACACCUGAUUACGUUUGCUGGAGUUUGGUGCUUGCUGCUUCUUUCAUUCUGAGCCAUUCUCCAGAUUUUGGUUCAACUGGCUGCUGAUUGAAAGGGAUGGGGAGUGAGGCGAGGUGAGAGUAAGCCCUGGUCCAAGAUCUGGGUUUUGGUUGAAACUUGAAUGGUGUAUCCCGAAUUCCGAUACUAAGAUUUAGGGUUUAAUGAAGACAAAUGGGUUAGGAAAGGAAUCAGUUUUAUGCUCUUAUUGUUUAUUUGGAAAUUUUGAGUUCUUUCCCGGUGUUGCUGGUUAUUAUCUGAAACACCUGCGCUACUUAACACUUAUCUUUUCACUACCUUCAAUUAUAUGGUGUAAUCGCACAACUGAAAUGCAAAAUUUUCUGGUGGGAUUAUCUCGUGAUUUCAGAAUCAUAAUUAAUUAAUAUUAUUAUUAUUAUUAUUAGGGGGUGGCCAUUUGGUGGUAAUAGUGGGCAAGUUACAGUCAGUUUCGUCGUGGGUUUAAAAAGUAGUUUUUCUUUUUCAAAAAUAAAAAUUAUUUGUUUCUAAUUUUUAAAAAUAAAGUGAAAUAAAGAGUAAGAGCCUGUUUGGCUGCGUGAUUUAAAAAUAUAUAUAUUUUUAAAUUUUUAUAAAGUAAAAAUUAUUUUUAAAAUUAUUUUUUAACUCAAAAACUGAUUUAAUUAAUAUUAAAAGUUAUGAAACUUAAUAACAUUAGUUAGUCAAAGAUCAAAAUUUAUUUUAAUUAUUUAGGUUAGUUUCUAUAUAUAUAUCAUUUUUAAAAAUUUUAUUAUUAGGUAAAUAAGUUUUAAAUUAAGCAAGAUUUAAUGCAUUAGAUUCACUAAGAGCUUAGUAAUUUUUUAAAAUAAUUUAAAACUCAAAUAGUAAAUCAAUUAAUACAAAAAACUUAUGGAUAAAAAUUGGUUUAGAAUAACUUUAUUGUUUCUCUUUCACAUAGAAUCCUUAUUUCUUGCAUUAAUGAUUAAAUUAUUAAUUUCUUUGAGUGUAUGUAUGAGCAACAUCUUACAGUGAUAGCAUAAUUUUUAACUUUAAACAAUCAAUAAUUUAAUAGGUAGUAAUACAUAUCUUUAAUAAUAGAUACAAUGAUUGUGGUAUUUCCACCAAGUUUGAAUUUAAUAUCCGUACUUGUGCAUGUGGACAUAUAAUGGUGCACGAUAUGGAGUUAGGCUAUGACUCAUUCAUUAGUGAAAAAAUUGUAAUUUUGCCAAACCUAGUUUACAUAAGCAAAUCCAUGCCACAAUCUCUAGGUGGAAGCCUAGGAGCCACGAUCCCUCUCUUUCUCUCUCUUGUUUGAUUGUCAUUUGGUAAUCUGAAAAUUUAAAAUUAGAAUUUUCUUCUAAUACUUUUUAAUCAAAAGUUUUUAGGGGGCUAUUAUUAAUUUUACUUACAAUGGGAAAAGAUAUUUGUUGUUUUUCUUUUUCAGUAGCAGUUAAAAAGGUUAUAACAUUUGAAAAUCACAAUUUAUCUUAACAAUAAAUCAAUAGAAUAAAAUUAAAAAUUAGAGUAUAAAUUAGUAGCAUACCUGAAACUAAUAUGAAGAUAUAAUAACAUAAAGUAAUUAUCAUUGAAUAAAUUAAAAGAAAAGCCAUUUCUUCUAUUACAAUAGUGAUGGAAUUCACUUCCAAAGCUUAUAGUAAAUCAUAAAGCAUAUGAAGAUCUACAAACAAAAUUUAUUGCCUUCGAGCAUGAUUUUUGGCAUAAGUCACUCUUCUUUUGAACAGUAGCCACUUGACAAUUUUGUCCACAAAAUCAAAAUAGGCAUCACACCAAGAUCUUCUUAUUGCCAAGACAAAAUAAGGAACUAAAAUGCCCAGCGCAAAUCCCAAGCCAAUGCUUAAGUAAAACCACUGAUCAAUAUAGCCACCAUCAAUUUUGUCCUCAAGAACACUUUGCCUUUUAUCUAGGUCUUCAUCCUGACAUUUUGUGACUAGUGGAGUUCCACAAAGAUUCGGGUUUCCAGUAAAGGCCAACUCUGUGAAAGUUGUCAUUUGCCCUACAAAGGGGAUCUUACCAGAGAAAUUAUUAUUUGAUAGAUUCAAAUAACCCAAGAAUGUUAACGAGGACAUGCUUGAAGGAAUGGUGCCAGAAAGCUUGUUGCUUGAUAGAUCAAGAGAGGACAACUGACACAACAUUGAAAUGCUUCCAGGAAUUUGGCCAAUGAUGUGAUUCAUGGACAAGUUUAGAAACACCAAACCAGACAAUUUUGUUAUUCCCUCAGGAAACUCUCCACUUAAAUUAUUGUCGGAUAGAUCGAUGCUAACAACAAGAGAAAGAGUCCUCGUGUAUUCAAGACUUUGGCCUUUUGUAAUCACAAUCAACCUUUCAUCAUAUCGAGAGCCAUUCCCACUGUGAUACAAAGAAUACAUAUCCAUGUUACGCUCCUGAGCCAUGGCUUUAAGCUCCACCAAAGUGACUGGAAUUUUACCAGUCAAAUUGUUUUGUGCAAGGUCUAAGACAUGUAGGGAGCUUAAAUUUGAAAGUCGGUCGGGAAGUCUUCCAAAAAAUGCAUUCGACCUCAAGUUGAGUAUUACAAGAUUUAUGAAAGCAGUUCCAAUCCAUGAUGGAACCUUACUCGAUAAUUCGUUAUAACUGAGAUCAAGGAGUUCCAAACUUGAUAAAUUUUGGAAAGAUGAGGGAAGCUCUCCUGAAAGCUUGUUGUCGUUCAGGUGUAGUGAUUGGAGCAAUUGUAACCGACCUAAUGACUUUGGUAUCAUCCCGGACAAAUUGUUAUUUCCAAGGUCCAAAACAAUUAGGCGAGAGUAAUUAUUUAUGGUAGAAGGAAUGCUUCCGGUCAAAUUAUUCCUUGAAAAAUCAAUGACUUCAAGAGAGGUGAUGUGUCCUAUGGAAUCUGGGAUGGUUCCUGUUAUUCGAUUACUCGAAAGAGAAAGGAAAUACAAGCUUGGUAGGAAUUCACCUAUGUUUGAUGGGAUGGGCCCUGUUAUUUGAUUAUGAGAAAGAAGAAGGUAUCUCAAGUCUGACAGGGAUUCACCUUUACUAAGUGGGAUAGGGCCAGAAAAUUUAUUAUGGGAGAGAUCUAGAAAUCUCACCCCUUUGAUUGAAAAAGGAAUAGGUCCUUCAAAGAGGUUGGAACUGAAAUCGAUCUGUGUGAGAAAAGGAGAAGAAAAAUUCAAUGAAUUUGGUAACUGACCUUGUAACUGAUUGUGAGAAAGACUUAAGUCCUGCAGAUUGAAAGAAAUAUUCCAAAACCAAUUUGGAAUAUGACUUGAAAUGCUAGCAUUUGAGAAAUUAAGAUAUUGGAGGUUCUUCUGAGAUUGAAGCCAAACCGGAAAUGAAGGACCCAAGUGGCAUGAACCCAUAUCAAGAUAUUUCACCUGGAAAGGGGGAACCCAAUUGGGACUAACAUUCAAAUGGAAAGAAUUGGAGUCCAUGUAUAGCUGCUCCAACUUACUUAGCUUCCAAAAAUGUUGUUCAGAGAGACUUCCACUCAUUUGAUUGGAACUAACUUGCAAGAUUUGCAAUUCUGAAAGUUGUCCAAUACUAUCUGGGAGACUUCCAUUCAGCUUAUUCAAUCCAAGAGUCAAGAACUCCAGGUGUUGCAAUGUCCAUAAAGAAACAGGAAUGAGACCUUCAAAUCUGUUACUGUUUAAAACAAGUGCCCUGAGAUUUUUAAGCUCACCCAACCAAUUUGGCAAUUUUCCCAUCAAUUGAUUGCCAUACAAGUACAACUCUGUCAAAUUAGGCAAAAGACUUUUAGAACUGCAGGUUUCAAUUCCCUCGAUAAUCUUAGGUAAACUUCCAUUCAAGUAAUUAUCACUCAAAUCCAGAUAUUUUAAGUUGCAAAAGUUUCCAAAGGAGCUUGGAAUUGGACCUGUAAUGAGCAAGAUUAAAAAAUAUGUAUUAAUUAAAUUAUGUAAUAAACAAAUAAUAAAAAUAGUAAAUAACAAAAUAAAUUAAUUCAUGAACAAUUAAUUUAAAGAAAAAGUAAGAAAAGUUAUUAUUCUUCAUGAAUUGGUGAAUAAAAAUAGUAAGAAUGGUAUUUUUUUAUCUUUUUUGAUAACCAUAAAAUAAAAUAAUUUAUUUCACUUUGUUAAAAAAGAAAAAAUAAUUUAUUUCAAUGUUAUAAGAAUAGUAGGAUUAGUCAUUGAUAUUAAUUGUUCCUUUAAAAAUAAACUAUUUUUUCUUUUUUAACAAAGUGAUAGUUCAAUGAGAGAAGAUAGAAAAUCAAAAUAUAAACCAAAGGAUUAAGAAAUCAAGUUAUCAAAAUUUAAAUUUUUAUUUUAGCGAUGAAAAUAAAGCUAGAGAAAACUAGGAAUUCAACCUAGUUUAAUAUUUUGUAACAACAACACUACAAGAAACUAGCAAAAUUAAAUAAAAAGUGAGAAACUUAUAAUAAACUAAAAUCAGUAAAAUGAUGAUGUAAAAUGGUUUAUAGUCUAACUAAAAUAUACAAAGGAUAUGCUAUGAAAUGAAAUAUCUAAAUUAAUUGAGGAGUGAGGAUGUCCUUAUAUCAAAUUGUCACUCAAAUCUAAAUAUUUUAGAGAUUUCAAUUUUAUCAAUAAAGGUCUAAUCUAAUUAAUUAAGUUUAAAAGAGACAAUAUAUCAAAGUAAAAACUCAUAUGGCAACAAUUGCUUCCCCUUUAGGAUAGUGGUUAAUAUUAACUUCUUGAUUUGGAUUUUAGUGAAUUCUCUAAGGUUGUUUUUGGAACUUCUAAUGUUUUAUUUCUAAAGAUAGAAAUUCAUAGAAACUCUAAUAUAAAUAGUAAAACUUUACCAUAAAAAAGUACUAUCUUAAAUGUUUUAAAAAACAUGAAUAUUAGAAAAAAUUUACUAUCUUAAAUCUUUUAAAUUUCAAUAACAGUAUUUAAGAACAUGAAAUGUAAUAUUAUAUUUACUUAAUGUUCAAUUUUAUGGUUUCAAUUACUUGUCUCAACCAUGAAAUGUCAUAUCUCAAUAUAUAAAUUACAAUAAUUUGACAUAAUAGAUGAAUUAUGGAGAGAAAAUAGAAAUUGAAAAUGUGCAAGAGAUGAUUGAAAGUUAUUUGAUGAUAAAGAUUCUUAACAAACGUAAAUGAUCAAAAUAGGAAUAUAAAUUUUUUUUUUGGAGAUACAAAGAAAGUAAAUUUUUAGAUUUCAAUCUAAUGUGGUUUUUUAUUUAUUAAUUACAAGAUUUUAAAAAAUAAAUGAAUAGUAAAUUAUAAUUAUUUAAAUUUUAUAGGAACAAGAAAUACCUGAAAAUAAACAUGACAAUCUAGAAUAAAAUUUUGAAAUGAGAAUAAAAAUUGAAAAGUAUUUAACAGCUAAAACUAGUAAAAUAUUAUAAAAAAAAAUUGGCAUUAGCAAAGUACGUCAUAUAUCAAUUCAACCGUAAUAUAAAUAUUCAAUUCAGUGCAUAUUCAAAUUAUUAUCCCCAAGAACAAAAUAAAUCGAAAAAAUGAGAGCAUGUCAAAAUCUUACUAUAGAAAUGAAAGCAUUCAAAAAAUAAUUAAUACCAUAAUGUAUGAAAAUGAUAUUAUUAUUAUUAUUUACAAUAAUAAAUAAUAAAUCAUUGAUCAACUAAUUUAAAAUAAAAAAAAAGGAGGUUAAGGAUUUAAAAAAUCAUAUUCCUAUAAGUACAAUUCUUUUAUUAGUUACAUAGACAUGCACCUUUUAUAAUCACUUACCAUUACACAAAAAAAUUGUUAAAUAAUAUAGAUACUUCAUAAGCAUAAAGUGUCAAACUAUAUACUUUUUCUUAGAUAAAAAAAAAACUAAAUUUCCUUCUAAGAAAUUUAAAGUUCAAAAUAAUGUUUUGUUAUUAGGUAUAAAUUUAUUUCCACUAUGAGAACAAAAUAUGGUGAUUAUUUGAUAAUGUAUACUAAUACAUAUUCAAGAAGAGGUUAUGUACACAAUCAUCAACUAUAUAAAUUUAAUUACAUAUUUACAUACAAACAAAGAAAUAUCAAUUUUUCUAUUAAGAGAAGAACUUACCAUGUAAUUUAUUUCCACCCAAAUUGAGAAAUUCUACCUUUUUCCAACUCUUCCUCAACAAUUGAUAGAUACUGCCUUCGAGAUAGUUCCCAUAUAGAUAUAAGUAUUGCAAAUUGGGUAGCUCACCAAGACCAAGUGGAAUCCUCCCAUGUAAUUGAUUGUAGCUUAUAUCAAUGGAUCCAAGGCUGCUAACAUUUAGAAGCCAUUCUGGAAACAUGGAAAUGAAUUGGUUCGACUUGAUGCUUAUAACACGAAGUGAAGUAAAGUUAACAAAGCUUGGAAAUGGAAUUGAGCCAGAUAGGCUACAACCAUCUAGAUGCAGCUCUGUUAAAAUUGGAAGUUUGUUUAGCACCUCCACCCAUUCACUUCCUACUGAUGAGAGGUUAACAUAAUCCAUACCAAGAUACUUCAAGGAAACAAGACUAGCCAUCCAUUCAAUAUUGCCAAUAGAUAAAUCAUUAAAAUAUUCAAAAUCAUCAUAACUCAGAUCUUCAUAAGAAAGAUCAAGAUACUGUAAAUUAGAAAGAUUUCCAAAAUUUGAAGGAAUUGUACCACUAAACUCAGCACCUGAUAAGUUUAGAUAUAGUAAAUUCUUCAAAGACCCGAAGAAUUGAGGAAUUGGCAUGCCUUUGAAUGAGUUGAAACUCAAAUCUAGAUAUUUCAAAGACUCGAGUUUUGUCAAUGAAGGUCUAAUUUCUCCACUCAAGUUCAUAGAGCUCCAGUUCUCAUGUACAUUCUUACGAGGAUAAGGGUUAUGAAGAUCAAUGGAAAUGACAAUUCCUGUGUCUUUUUCACAAGUAAUUCCUUGCCAGUAGCAAUAAUUGCUUCCUUUCCAUGAUGAAAGUCGGUUGUUAGGAUCUUUGAGGCCAUUUUUGAAGUUAAUAAGAGUCUCUUGUUCAGAUUGAAUGUUGUUGCUGAUAUGGGUAUAACCAUUACAUGCAAGUUCCGUUGUUAUGAAAUAGAGAAUGGCUACAAUGAAACCAAGAAUUGAAAUUCUCUCCAUGUAAAUAUUCUAAGUUGAGCACCUGUAAAAAUUGAAUUCCAAUAUGUAGUCAGCAUUUUCUUGAAUUAAAUUAAAAUUUUAUUUUUGACAUCAAAAUGAAAAACUGAUAAAAUUUAAAAGAUAGUUGCAUCAACAUGAUGAACUUAUUUUAACCAACACAUUUAAGAAAUGUUACCAGUCUAAUAUAAUUUUAAAAGAUCUACUCAUGGCAUAUGUAAAUAUAUACUAAGAAAAACAGUAGUAAUCAUCUCAUAGAUAUGCAACCUUACUUUGAUUGGCGAGAACUGAAAUCACCUACAAGAGAGUUAGAAAGAUUAGAUAGAAAAACACAUUAAAAGUAGUUUAUCAAUAUUAGUCGAGUUCAACCUUACCUGAAACUUCUUUCUUGUUUUCCUUGUUUUUUCAAUUCAACUAAAAUAUAUAGAAGAUUGUUUAAAGUGAUGACAAUGAUAGCCUCACUUUCUUAUUUUCCUUGUUUUUUCAAUCAUAUUAAAUUCUAAUUGAGUGGAAAAUGACUCAGAGUUCUUACCUCCACCACAAAAACCAAGUGUCUUGAUUGAAAACCUUCACUUGAAGAUAAAAAAGAUGUGGAUUGAAAGACCAUGAGUUGGCACUAAGUCAAGGUCAAUAAGAUUAAAAUAAACAUUAAAAUUCAUCUAUGAGUAAAAAAAACUACACUUGUUUAAAUUUUGAAAGAUCUUAAUUGGGAAAAAUAAAAUAUGCAUAUCAAGGUGUUAAGAAUAAGUCAAGAGCUUAGAUCAUUCAACAUACAAAAAUAGUAUUGAAUUGAUGGGCUUAUUUGGUGGUAUAAUUUAGAAAUUUAUAGCACUAUUUGGCAUGUUUUAUCCCAAAAACAAAAUUUUAAAAUAAAGUUAAAUAGAGAACAACUUUAGGAAAAUAAAUAUAAUUUCUUCUCACUUGUUUUUAAAAACAAAAGGAAAACAUAAAAAAAUAAAAUAAAUAAAUACAAUCUCUUUCUUCUUUCAUUUUUUCUUUACCAACCAAUGAUAAAAAAUCAUCAAAUAUGAUCUUUCUCUUAAUUAUACGUAUUUUUUUUUUUAUUUUCUUUAACUUCUCUAAUUUUUUUAUUAGGCAUAUAGAUUUUGAAUCAAAUAAUACUUAAAAUAAUUUGAAACUCAAAAUCAAUUUAAUUAAUACUAAAUUGUCAUCAAACUUAAAAGUUAAUUUAAUUAAUACAAAAAAAGUCAUGAACCAAAAUUUAUCAUGGAUGACUUUUUUAGUUUCUUAUUACAACACAUAACUAUAUUUUUCUGAAUUUUUUGCUAGAAAAAUAAAUUAAAUCUAGCAAAACUUAAUGUUUCAAUCCUUUAAUGAAUCUAAUAAUUUUUAGAAAUACUUUCAAAUUCACAUAUNNNNNNNNNNNNNNNNNNNNNNNNNNNNNNNNNNNNNNNNNNNNNNNNNNNNNNNNNNNNNNNNNNNNNNNNNNNNNNNNNNNNNNNNNNNNNNNNNNNNNNNNNNNNNNNNNNNNNNNNNNNNNNNNNNNNNNNNNNNNNNNNNNNNNNNNNNNNNNNNNNNNNNNNNNNNNNNNNNNNNNNNNNNNNNNNNNNNNNNNNNNNNNNNNNNNNNNNNNNNNNNNNNNNNNNNNNNNNNNNNNNNNNNNNNNNNNNNNNNNNNNNNNNNNNNNNNNNNNNNNNNNNNNNNNNNNNNNNNNNNNNNNNNNNNNNNNNNNNNNNNNNNNNNNNNNNNNNNNNNNNNNNNNNNNNNNNNNNNNNNNNNNNNNNNNNNNNNNNNNNNNNNNNNNNNNNNNNNNNNNNNNNNNNNNNNNNNNNNNNNNNNNNNNNNNNNNNNNNNNNNNNNNNNNNNNNNNNNNNNNNNNNNNNNNNNNNNNNNNNNNNNNNNNNNNNNNNNNNNNNNNNNNNNNNNNNNNNNNNNNNNNNNNNNNNNNNNNNNNNNNNNNNNNNNNNNNNNNNNNNNNNNNNNNNNNNNNNNNNNNNNNNNNNNNNNNNNNNNNNNNNNNNNNNNNNNNNNNNNNNNNNNNNNNNNNNNNNNNNNNNNNNNNNNNNNNNNNNNNNNNNNNNNNNNNNNNNNNNNNNNNNNNNACAUUCAAGUAAAACAUCCUUUAAAAUGAAAAAAAAAAAAUAGUUUGUAUCUUUUUCAUGACCCAUUAAUCUUGUAAGAAUUAUAGAUCACGUUGUUUGAUCAUGAUCGAUGAUUAACAAACUUUAUUCUCUAUGUAGUGUUGACUAUGUUAUCAAGUCAAAAAGCUAUGCCGUGUUCAAGUAACACAUCUUCCAAAAUUUUAAAAAUAUAAUAAGAUAAAAUAAAAUAAAGGCCUUGACUCAAUUCUUUUUAUUAUGAAGGUCAUUCUUCACCUAAAAAAUAAGGUUAACAACUUUGCAUCUAAUUAUAAUAUAGGAUAAAAAGAAGUGUUUAAUAGUGAUCAAAACACUGAUUUUAUAUCAUUAUACAAAAUUAAGGGAAAUAAUCAACUAGUCAAGAAAUGAAUUGAUUAAUUGUUACCUUUACCAAAAUGCCUUAUUAUAUAUUAUAGCUUUUCUUUAAAUAAAAUUAAAAGAAAAUUGUCAAAUAGCACCAUAAUAAAGGGAAAAUUGAUCUUAGUCCACAUUACUACUUUUGUUUAAACAAAAUUAAAAUAAAUUUUGUGAAAUAUAUCAAUAAAAAAGGAAAAAUACUUGCAUGAAAAGAUAGAAUUUUUUUUUUUUUUUUUUAAAGCAAAAUGUUACUAAAUAAAGGGAAAAUACUUGUAUAAACUAGUUUAUCUAAAAUUAGACCUUGACUUAGUAUUUAAUAAAUAUAGGAGAACAAAUAUAUAUGACAACCAUACCAUUAAUUUUAUCUUAAUGUAUAAAAAUAAAGAUAACUAUUGGAUAGCCAAAAAUAAUAAUAAAAUUAAAUAUUUAUUAUCCCUAAUUGUAAAUUAUGAAAACAUUGAAAAGUUAUUUUAAAUCCAAAUAUGUCAAAAUAACAUCAUUAAUAUAAUUGCUUUCAAUUCAUUUUUACACACACAUAGUAGAUUAAACAUUAUAUCUAUCUUGCAAUUUAAGUAAUCACUUUUGACUUCAAAGGAAAAUGAUAUUAGAAAAUAAUAUGAUUCAACCCAAAAACUUAAUUUCUUUAAGUUCCAACUAAUGAGAAACAUACACAUGCGAUAACCUUAUUACAAUAGAUUAGUUUCUUCCAAUUUUUUUUUUUUAAUUUUUUAUUAUUCAAAUAUCUAAUAACCUAAUUUGCCUAAAAUUAAUUAUGACAAUGAUUAACCAUCUAAAAUCAAAUCAUAAUGUCCAUUUUUUUCUUGAUCAUAAUCCACAAUAAAGAAUAUUUAUUUUGAAUGAAGUGUAGACCACAUUGUAAAGUUUGUCAAUUCAAAUAGUCAUAUGGAUAACAAAUAACUAUUUUAAAAUCAUAUUAGAAUAGUUUGUAUUGUUAUAUGACCCAUCAAUUUUGUAUGAAGUGGAGACCACGUGUUUGACUAUGACCGAUGAUAAUGGAAUUUUAUUCUCUAUGUAGUAUUGAUCAGGUUAUCAAGUCAAAAAGUUAAAUUGUGCUCAAGUAAAACAUCCUUUAAAAUUUAAAAUAAAAAAUAAAAAAUCAAAAGACCUUGACUCGUUCAAAAUUAUGGUUUUGAAAGUUGGAAGUAAAAAUGGAGAAAGGAAAACCAAGAAAAAAAGGCCCAUAUAUUAGGCCUAGAAAUUAGGCCCUUGUAGAAAGGAAAAAAAGAUUUUCGAAAAAGGAAAAUUAAAUAAAAUAAAAAUUCAAAUGAGCCAAAAGUUGUCUAGAAAAUGGGCCGAAAUAGGGGCCAAAUAAUAAUAAUAAUAAUAAUAAUAAUAAUAAUAAUAACCAUACAUCCAUAUUGAAGGUGAUAUAUUUUGAAACAUUCAAGUCCAUGUAAGAUAGUAAUAGAUAAGAUGAUAAUAGCCUUACAACCAUAUUGAAGGGUGAUAUCUUUUGAAACAUUCAAGAUCUUACAACAUUGAAGUCAAUGAAAAAUGUUGUCCACACAAGAUGAUAAUAGAUAAGUUUAAAUAAUAAUAAUAAUAAUAAUAAUAAUAAUAAUAAAAUAAUAAUAAAAACCUUACAACCAUAUCGGAGGGUGAUGCUUUUUGAAACAUUCAAGUCCACACAAGAUGAUAAUAACUUUACAACCAUAUUAAAGGAUGAUAUCUUACAAAACAUUCAAGACCUUACAACCGCAUUGAAAUAUUUUAGACCUUACAACAUUCAAGUCUAUGAAAAAUGUUGUCCACACAAAAUGGUAAUGGAUAAGUUUAAUAUUCUCAAAUUAUUAUAAAUCAAGCAAAGUCUAGCUUGGCCAAUAAUAUUAUAAACUUAAAAAUUAAUUAUCUACAAUUAUAAAUUAUUUAAAGUUAUUUUGAAUCCAAAUAUGUCAAGUAGCGUCAUUAUUAUAAUUGCAUCCAAUUUGUUUUCCUAUACACACAUAAUAGAUUAAACACUAUAUUUGUAUUGCAACUUAAGUAAUCACUUUUUACUUCGAAGAAAAUUGUGUUAGAAAAUAAUAAGAUCCAAACCACAACUUAAUUCCUGAAGUCCCAACUAAUGAGAAAUAUACACAUGAUAUAAUCUUAUGAUAAUAGAUUAGUUCCAUCCAAUUAUUUUUUAAUAUAUCAAUAUCUAAUUACAUAAUUUGUCUAGAUUUAAUCAUGAAUAACGAAUAACCAUUUAAAAUCAAAUCAUAAUAGUCCAUUCCUCCGGACCCACAACUAGCUCCUCCCCACUUCUUCCAAAGUCUUCACAAAAGAUUCUUAUUUCCACCUGGGAAUCUUUUAUUAAAUUUUUAAUUCUAUAACCCAUAAAAACUUAACAAAUAAAUACAAUUUUAUAGAUUUAUAAUAUAUAUAUAUAUAUAUGUUCACUAAAACAUUACCAUCUUUUUAACAAAAAAAAAAACAUAAUUUGUAUUUUUAUUAUAUAUGAAAUUUAUCAUUACAUUAUUUAUUGAAACAAUUAUCAUCCUUUAUUUUGUAUUUAUUUCUUAUAAUUUAGUUUUUUUUUUGAAGUAAAACAAAAUUGGUGUGAAUUUUUAAAAUAUUAUAAUUUAUAGAUAAAUUUUUUCAAAUAUUAAUAUUCAUUUUUAAUGAAAAAAUAUAGUUCAAAUGUUUAUCUAAAAAUUAACAAUUUCACAAAAUUUUAAUAAAAUAUUAAAAAAAAAAUCCACGGGAUUUGUUUUCUUUCAUGGUUUUAUCUAUUAUCUCAUAUUAUCCUUAGAAAAAUGAAUUUAUAUUAAAAAAUAUUAGUUGAUAAGAUAACAACAAAUCAAUUUACUACAUAACAUAAAUUAAUAAAACCACUAUGAUAUUUUAAACACUAGUGAUUUGUUUCUUCAAAAUUAUUUUUGACAAAUUAUCCAAAAGUCUACAUUUUUUUUAAAUAACCAAAAUGUUAAGGUUCAAUAAUAUUUUCUUAAGGUUAUUUCUUGAAAUUAAUUUUCUAGAUAGAAAGAAGGUUUUCUAUUAUUUUUUAAGUAAUCACUUUUGACUUCAAAGGAAAAUGAUAUUAGAAAAUAAUAUGAUCCAACCCACAAACUUAAUUCCUUUAAGUUUCAACUAACGAGAAACAUACACAUGCAAUAACCUUAUUAUGAUAUAUUAGUUUCUUCCAAUUUUUUUUUAUACAAAUAUCUAAUAACUUAAUUUGCCUAGAUUUAAUCAUGGACAAUGAUUAACCAUCUAAAAUCAAAUCAUAAUGUUCAUUUUUUUCUUGAUCAUAAUCCACAAUAAAGAAUAUUUAUUUUGAAUGAAGUGUAGACCACGUUGUAAAGUUUGUCAAGUCAAAUAGUCAUAUGUAUAAUAAAUAACUAUUUGAAAAUCAUAUUAGAAUAGUUUGUAUUUUUAUAUGACCCAUCAAUUUUGUAUGAAGUAUAGACUACGUUGUUUGACUAUGACGGAUGAUAAUGAAAUUUUAUUCUCUAUGUAGUAUUGAUCACGUUAUCAAGUCAAAAAGUUAAAUCGUGCUUAAGUAAAACAUCCUUUAAAAUUAAAAAAAAAUCAAAAAUAAAAAAACCUUGACUUGUUCAAAAUUAUAGGUUUUGAAAGUUGGAAGUAAAAAUGAAGAAGGAAAAACCAAGAAAAAAAAAGGCUCAUAUAUUGGGCCCAGAAAUUAGGCCCUUGUAGAAAGGGAAAAAAGGUUUUAGAAAAAGGAAAAUUUAAUAAAAUAAAAAUUCAUGGCCAAAAGUUGCCUAGAAAAUGGGCCGAAAUAGGGGCCAAAUAAUAAUAAUAAUAACCAUACAUCAAUAAUGAAGGUGAUAUCUUUUGAAACAUUCAAGUCCACAUAAGAUAGUAAUAGAUAAGAUGAUAAUAGCCUUACAACGAUCUUUUGAAACAUUCAAGUCAAUGAAAAAUGUUGUCCACACAAGAUGAUAAUAGAUAAGUUUAAAUAAUAAUAAUAAUAAUAAUAAUAAUAAAACCUUACAACCAUAUUGGAGGGUGAUACUUUUUGAAACAUUCAAGUCUACACAAGAUGAUAAUAACUUUACAAUCAUAUUAAAGGAUGAUAUCUUUCAAAACAUUCAAGACCUUAAAACCACAUUGAAAUAUUUUAAACCUUACAACAUUCAAGUCUAUGAAAAAUGUUGUCCACACAAAAUGGUAGUAGAUAAGUUUAAUAUUCUCAAAUUAUUAUAAAUCAAGCAGGUCUAGCUUGCCAAUAAUAUUAUAAACUUAAAAAUUAAUUAUCUACAAUUAUAAAUUAGUUAAAGUUAUUUUGAAUCCAAACAUGUCAAGUAGCACCAUUAUUAUAAUUGCAUCUAAUUUAUUUUCCUAUACACACAUAAUAGAAAAUAAUAAGAUCCAAAUCACAACUUAAUUCCUUAAGUCCAUAUUAACAAGAAACAUACAAAUAUCUAAUUACAUAAUUUGUCUAGAUUUAAUCAUGGACAAUGAAUAACCAUUUAAAAUCAAAUCAUAAUUGUCCAUUCCUUCGGACCCACAACUAGCUCCUCUCCACUUCUUAUAAAGUCUUCAUAAAAGAUUCCUACUUCCACCUGGGAGUAUUUUCUUAAAUUUUUAAUUCUAUAAUGCUUUCUCAUUGCAAAAUUAGGGUCUUUUUAAUUUUUAAUUCUAUAACCCAUAAAAACUUAAUAAAUAAAUACAAUUUUAUAGAUUUAUAAUAUAUAUAUAUAUAUAUAUAUAUAUAUAUGUUCACUAAAACAUUACCAUCUUUUUAACAAAAAAAAAAACAUAAUUUGUAUUUUUAUUAUAUAUGAAAUUUAUCAUUACAUUAUUUAUUGAAACAAUUAUCAUCCUUUAUUUUGUAUUUAUUUCUUAUAAUUUAGUUUUUUUUUUUGAAGUAAAACAAAAUUGGUGUGAAUUUUUAAAAUAUUAUAAUUUAUAGAUAAAUUUUUUCAAAUAUUAAUAUUCAUUUUUAAUGAAAAAAUAUAGUUCAAAUGUUUAUCUAAAAAUUAACAAUUUCACAAACUUUUAAUAAAAUAUUUAAAAAAAAAAGUCCAUGGGAUUUGUUUUCUUUCAUGGUUUUAUCUAUUAUCUCAUAUUAUCCUUAGAAAAAUGAAUUUAUAUUAAAAAAUAUUAGUUGAUAAGAUAACAACAAAUCAAUUUACUACAUAACAUAAAUUAAUAAAACCACUAUGAUAUUUUAAACACUAGUGAUUUUUUUUUUUUCAAAAUUAUUUUUGAAAAAUUAUCCAAAAGUCUACAUUUUUUUUUAAAAUAACCAAAAUGUUAAGGUUCAAUCAUAUUUUCUUAAAGUUAUUUUUUAAAAUUAAUUUUCUAGAUAAAAAAUUAAGUAAUCACUUUUGACUUCAAAGGAAAAUGAUAUUAGAAAAUAAUAUGAUCUAACCCACAAACUUAAUUCCUUUAAGUUCCAACUAAUGAGAAACAUAACAUGCAAUAACCUUAUGAUAGAUUAGUUUCUUCCAAUUUUUUUUUAUACAAAUAUCUAAUAACUUAAUUUGCCUAGAUUUAAUCAUGGACAAUGAUUAACCAUCUAAAAUCAAAUCAUAAUAAUCCAUUUUUUUCUUGAUCAUAAUCCACAAUAAAGAAUAUUUAUUUUGAAUGAAGUGUAGACCACGUUGUAAAGUUUGUCAAGUCAAAUAGUCACAUCGAUAAUAAAUAACCAUUUUAAAAUCAUAUUAGAAUAGUUUGUAUUUUUUUUAUGACCCAUCAAUUUUGUAUGCAGUGUACACUACUUUAUUUGAUUAUGACUGAUAAUAAUGAAAUUUUAUUCUCUAUCUAGUAUUGAUCACGUUAUUAAGUCAAAAAGAUAAAUCGUGCUCAAGUAAACAUCCUUUAAAAUAAAAAAAAUUAAAAAUCAAAAGACCUUGACUCGUUCAAAAUUAUGGGUUUUGAAGGUUGGAAGUUAAAAUGGAGAUGAAAAAACCAAGAAAAAAGGCCCAUAUAGUUGGCCCAUAAAUUAGGCCCUUGCAAAGAGAAAAAAAAAAGUUUCAGAGAAAAGAAAAUUAAAUAAAAUAAAAAUUGAAAUGGCCCAAAAGUUGCCUAGAAAAUGGGCUGAAAUAGGGGCCAGAAAACCGUCCCUAUAAGAGAAAAUUUUUUAUUAUACAAAUAUCUAAUAACUUUAUUUGCCUAGAUUUAAUCAUGGAUAAUGAUUAACCAUCUAAAAUCAAAUCAUAAUAAUCCAUAUUUUUCUUGAUCAUAAUCCACAAUAAAGAAUAUUUUGUUUUUUUGAAUGAAGUGUAGACCACGUUAUAAAGUUUGUCAAGUCAAAUAGUCAUAUCGAUAAUAAAUAAUCAUUUUAAAAUCAUAUUAGAAUAGUUUGUAUUUUUUUUAUGACCCGUCAAUUUUGUAUGCUGUGUAGACUACGUUGUUUGAUUAUGAUUGAUAAUAAUGAAACUUUAUUCUCUAUGUAAUAUUGAUCAUGUUAUCAAGUCAAAAAGAUAAAUCGUGGUCAAGUAAAACAUCCUUUAAAAUUUAAAAAAUUAAAAAUCAAAAGACCUUGACUCAUUCAAAAUUAUGGGUUUUGAAGGUUGGAAGUUAAAAUGGAGACGGAAAAACCAAGAAAAAAGGCCCAUAUAGUUGGCCCAUAAAUUAGGCCCUUGCAAAGAGAAAAAAAAAAGUUUUAGAGAAAAGAAAAUUAAAUAAAAUAAAAAUUGAAAUGGCCCAAAAGUUGCCUAGAAAAUGGGCUGAAAUAGGGGCCAGAAAACUGUCCCUAUAAGAGAAAAAAAUCUUCAUAAAAAUUAUGAGGCCCAAAAUUGGCCCAGAAGUUGGGCCCAGGGAUCUGACCCAUAAAAGGGCCAAAAAGGCUGGCUGGGAGGGGAUUAAAAAAAGGGCAAACUGGCCCAAAUUAGGCCCAGCCCAUUUUUAUUGGGUUGGGUAUGGUGGGGGUGGGCUUCGCUUGGGUGUGGGUGAGGGGAGGGUUGACUUAUGACACGGUGCCAUGUGGCAGCUCCAAUUGAGGUGCAAAACCCCACUUUUUAAGCCUAUAAUGUUGUCUUUAAGAUCAUUAUGAUUUCUGCUUAGCUCCUCAUGGUGCUUCAGCUCUACUGUAAAUAUAGGAACUAUACUAAGUAAGAAUGAUACAAAACAAUACAGAAAUAAAUUUUAAACAAGGGAGGCCCAAAUUUGGCCCAGAGAUGGGACCCAUAAGAGAGCCCAAAAUGCUAGCUGGUGGGGAAUACAAAAAUAAAAAAAUAAAUAAAAAGGGCCAAACUGGCCCAGCCCAGGGAAAGAGUUCAAUUAUUUUUUAAAUUAUUUGUAAUAAUAAAAUUAUUAUUAUUAAUUUAUUAAAAACUAUUUAUUUUUAAUUUAGUUAUAAUAAUAAAGUUUUUUAUUUAUUUGUAAUAUGAAUUGAAUUAAAUUAAAUUUAUAUUAUAUAAAUUCAAUUUACAAAAUCAAAAUAAAAAAUUAUUUUUAAAAACAACUUAUAUAAAAUCAACUUUUUGUUUUUUAUUAUUUGAAGAGUGUAUUUAAAAAUAGUUUACACAAAGGGAAUCAAAAUACCCUUCAAUGAUGAAUUGAAUCCCACUUAUAAGUGGAAAUUUAUUUAUUUGCUGGAAUCAUUUUUUAUUUCAUUCUCAUUGCAAACAUUAUAAUGAAUGAAUUCAACAUAUCAAACAUGAUAAUGGUAAAUAUAUUUUAAUAAAUCUAUAAAUUUUAAAACUUAACAAAUAAAUACCAUUUUAUAAAUUUUAAAAACUGAUAAUAGCGUAAUCAUGGGUUAUAAGUAUACUUUUCUUUGGUUAAAAGAGUUUUAUAUAAUAUAUAUAGUUAUAAUUAAAGUGCUUCAAAGUUAAAAGGCCUUCUAAAUACUCUUUUAGCUCCAAGGGUUGUUCUUUGUAAGGUUUGGAAUAAAUUUUUUGCUUAUAUAUUAACUUAUUAAUUUUCUUGCAAAAUAAAAGGAGUCUUCUUUUCUCAUUAAAAUAAUUUGAGUCAUUUUUCCUUCUCAUUACGCUACAACAAAUGUGGGCUUUUUCUAUGUACUAAUUUGUACUUAAAAAAGAGCAUUUCUGGGUUGUUGCUAUAAUCAUUUUUUACCAUAACAAAUGAAUUUUAUAGCCAAAAGAGGUAAAAUUUUGCCAUAACAUGUUAUUUUUCACCACAAAAUAAAACUUGUACCAACACAUCACUUUUUUCCACAAAACAAAUUCAUGGCAAAACUCAAAAUUCUCUAUGAACACAAAAUUCAUGGUAAAAGUUCACUACAAAAAAAUAUUUACGGUUAAUGAUUAAAUUCCACCAUAAAAAAAAAAAAAAAAAAAUUGUGGCAAAAGUUUAUUUUCAAUAAAUUUUUUUUUCUAAUAGUACUAAAUUGCUAUCUAAAGAGCAUCACUGAUCAUUCUGCCAUUGUUGUCCCUUAAUGCUAAAAUACAUAAUGAAUCACCAACUUGACAUAAAUUAGGAUCAAUAUAAAAACAAAACAAAACAAAAAAAAAACCAAAAGAUGAACUUAGCUAAAAAAAAUUAAAGCCUAUAAAUUCACACAAAGAAUAUUAAUAAUUUAAUAAUUAAAUAUCAACAUUACAUCCUUUAAUACACUAAGCUUAGUAUGAAGUAUGAAGUAUGAAAUGCCAUGAGAGAUUCAUCACAAAAUAUACUUCAAAUCAAUUUGCAUACUCUCUAAUGGUAGCAUGUUAUCCUCUAGUUCAUUAUUUUCAUUAAUUGACACAGAAUCAGUAGAAAUAGAAUCAGAUUUUACUUGAAACCCUAAAACAGUGCUGACCUCAAAUUACUGGUUGUUUGGAUCAACAAACUUGAGCAUGAGGUCAUUAUGUCCAGACUUUGAAUCCUCCUCCGGCUAGGGCUUCGAAGCCCCACUCUCCUUCUAGGUUUCAUUGUUUUGCUCCUCUUGCCCACUUUGUGCUAUUUCAGAUACCACAUUCUCACUAACCAUAGUGCUAGUUUCGACAAAAAUUACAUUUCCUGAAUAAAAUUUCAUUGAAAGAAUAUUAAAUUCUAUUAAUCACGCAAAGUAAAAAAUAAGAUAGGUGCACUACUUGAACCUGCUAAGACAUCAAAUUUUCUAUUAUAAGCACUUGACAUUAGUUGAGAGGGAAUUUUCAUUUUCAGAAAACCAGAAGAAAAUACGACACACAAUCAUCAAAAUUUCUCCCCCUAUCAAUUUCCUCUCGGUUUUCUCUACAACCAAACAAAGGGUAAGGGUUUUUGAAAAUUUCCUCUUCCAGAUUCUUCUUCUAAUCAUCAACACCGUCCAUUUCUAUAAAUUUCAGUCAAAUAUACAGAUAAUAUUAGACGCUUCCAUGCUGAUAGAGAGAGAAAGUAGAAAUUGUAAAAUUUUAAAAUCCAUCAACACUGCUAGAAACUUCCAAGCAAAUCAACAGUAACAGUGGUGACAAAAUUGUAUUUUUAUACUAAUACAAGUGCUAGGACUAGGCGGCUUCAAUAUCACUCUACAAAAAUUCAAAAUUCAAAUUGAAUUUUCUUUCAUUUUCCUAAACCUUCACAGCAACCAAACGCGAGUUGGGGCUAAACAUCUCCACACCACACCCUAAAAACUCCAAACAUCAAGAAUAUGAGACAAUCGACAAUGAAAACUCUAAAUAUCCAAAGAGAAAAAACAGAGAAUUGAAGAGAGAGUUAGAGACCUAGAUAGGUUGAUUGAGUUGAGAGAGGUGAUCAGAGGAGAGGUGAGGCAAGAGGCCAAGCAGUGCGGAGAGAGCCAUCUCCGAGUGCUUAGGAUGAAUCCGUCGCAUCAAUCCCAAAGUCGCCUCCAUUUUAUUCAAAAAAAGGAUUCGGUUAAGCUCUAGAACCACCACCACCACUCUAGGGACCCUUCCCCCUGAUGACACGUGGCGUGCCUCGCUGUCCGAGGCGACUCCAUCCGGACUCCCCAGAGAAGGACACAUGGCGCGCUCCCCCUAUCCGGACUUCCUUAGGGAAAAGCACACGACACUCGCAAGCAUCACAUCCCCGGACGAUAGCAUAUCCUAUUCGGAUAUGUUGUCCGGAUCGUUGACUAAAGUAAGUAAGUCUUAAUGACAGCUUGCGUGGCCCACGUUUCGCCACCUGCAGAGUGAAAGGACAGAAGUGAUGGCAAAUCACCUCCCACGAUCUCUGACAGCCGUGUCGUAGGGUGAUGAUGACCCUGCCACCACCUAGAGGCAUCAUGACGAGCCAAAAAGUCUCCCUACCAUUAAAGAAGAGGACAGAGCUUCUGAUACUAUAUAUAUGGACCUUCACACAAGAAGGAAGGUAAGCUUGCUAUACCUAGUAAAAGGCCAACUGAUUAAUCUCUCUAAGACAUGGCUGACAAAAUCAUCGAAGGGUGUGUCCGGACACCCUGUCCAUACAUCUUUUGCAGGGACAACUGAACCAGAACUCUAUCUUGGUUGAAAGUGUGCGUCCAUUUGGCAGCUACGUGGAUCAUCGGGACGCAAGGCCUUAACAUUGGCGCCGUCUGUGGGAAACUCGCUGAUUCAGUCACCGGCAAAGAUGUCCACACCUUCCAAAAGCCACUCGUCUGCUAGGGGAGAGGAAGAUAAUUUUGAAUGGCGCUGAGCCAUCGAAAGAAGACAGUUGGCAAGCGAGCGACAACUGCAAGCUCUCCUCCAGGAGACAAUAAGAUUAAGAGAAGAAAACGCUGUGUUGCGAAUAUAGGCUUCAUCAACGGGGCCUCCCCGUCAUUAGCAUUCAAGAGGUCAGGUAGCAAACUCAAGGCCUGACCCAGAGUCAAUAUACCCUGGGGCAGCAGGAGCAAUCCCUGAAACAUGCAACGUUAGGCCACAUGAGCCACACACGCCCAUGCACCGAGCUCCUCAUGAGGAAAGCUCAGACUCUACUCAUCUUUCAACAAAAAGACAACGCGACAAAAAACCCCAUUUGUUAGACUCAAUGCGCGCGAGACUAGGCCCACAGGAGCCUAGGAGGCCAAGGCCGCCAGUUGCCACAACCUGGGGAGCACACCCUGACCCUAUGGUCACCCCUAUGGUGCAUAACGUUCUCCCGCACCGUGACCCUAUGGUCACCCCUAUGGUGCAGAACGUUCACCCGCACCUAGCAGUAUGACAAGCUGGGAGAAACCUCCCAAAGGAGCCACCCAUUGGCUCCAUCAGCAAAAGGCUGGACGACAUGCUCUCCACGCCUUUCUGCUCUCAUAUUAUUCAUUACGAGCCCCCAAGGGGAUUCCUUGUGCCUAAAUUCUCCACGUACGAUGGGUCUAGUGACCCCUUCGACCAUAUCAUGUAUUAUCGACAGCUCAUGACUCUCGAUAUAAGAAACAACGCGCUACUAUGCAAAGUGUUCCCCGCCAGCCUACAAGGGCAGGCCCUCUCAUGGUUUCACCGUCUACCUCCCAACUCUAUUGAUAAUUUCAGGGACCUGUCGGAAGCCUUCGUGGGACAAUACUUAUGCUCCGCUCGGCAUAAGCAGAACAUCAACACUCUGCAAAACAUAAAAAUGCAGGACAACGAGUCCUUGAGGGAGUUCGUGAAACGGUUUGGUCAGGCCGUGCUACAGGUAAAGGCUUACAACAUGGAUGUUGUCCUGCAGAUCUUCAAGCGAAGCAUUGGUCCAAGCACCCCAUUUUUCGAAUCAUUCGCUAAGAAGCCUCCUACGACGAUGGACGACUUGUUCCGGCGUGCGAGCAAAUACUCCAUGCUCGAAGAUGACGUGCGAACAGCCACCCAACAAAUCUUGGUUGUCGGACAAGCAUCCAGAGGUGGUGCAGAAAGAAGUGCCAAACUUCCGGACCGGCCAAGGCCGUCCGAUAGAAGGUAGGAAGGGCCAAGUCGCCCGGAAAUGCCGCCCCCCAUACCCCUUUCCAUAUCUUUUGAAAAGCUUCUCCCUAUGAUCCAAGACAUGUCCGACUUCAGGUGGCCUAGACCCCUCAAAACGGACCCCUCCAAAAGGGAUCAUAGUAAAAAAUGCGCCUACUGUAAGGAGCAUGGUCACACAACGGAGGCGUGCAAGUGCCUCCAUUAUUUGGUCAAAAGGCUCAUACAGGCGGGACAUUUAAAGCAAUACCUCCGCUCAGAUGCCAGAGGUAGAGACGCUUCCCGAAAUCACAACUCUGGAACCCUCAGGGCUUUAGCCGCCCCCAAAGUCGUUAUAAACUAUAUUAACGGAGGCCCACUCAAUGAGGAGUACGACUCCAAACGAAAGAGACAGAGGUUGGUGAGGGCAGCAUCGGUGCGUGAGCAUGUCAACUCCAUCCGGCCUGGGAUAAUUGGGGGUGGGGGAGGGGGGGGGGGGGGGGGCUUAGCCCCAUAGAUGGGACAAUCAUUUUCCCGCCAGUAGACCCCACACGAAUAUUGUAGCCACACCGCGAUGCCCUCAUCCUGUCCCUAGAGAUAGGAGACUUCGACGUGAGACGCAUCCUAGUUGAUCCGGGCAGCUCGGCCGAUCUUGUACAAGCAUCGGUCAUUAGCCACAUGGGAUGCAGUUUAGCAGGCCUCGAAAACCCUGGGCAAAUCUUGUCCGGAUUCAACGGGGCAUCAACUACUUCCUUGGGAGAUAUUGCAUUGUCGGUCUAAACUGACCCAAUCACUCUCAACGUACAAUUUUCGGUGGUACAAGAUUUAUCACCCUUCAAUGUCAUCUUGGGGCGCACAUGGCUGCAUUACAUGAAAGUCAUCCCCUCUACGUAUCAUCAAAUGGUAAGCUUCCUUACCAAGGAUGGGCAAAUCGACCUAUAUGGCAACCAGUUAGCCGCUCGUCAAUGCUACCAGAUAGCAUGAGAAGCAGAGACCAGCCAGGAGGAUAAAACCCUCCCUGAGUCCAGCCAUACACUUGACCAAUAGCAAUUAUUGAGUCCGACGGACAAAGAUCCCUCGGCAGCGGAUCCCUUGCAGGCGAUCCAAAUUUCAGAAGAAGGUACUCACCUUACAUAUAUCAGUUCCCUCCUGACACCAGAAGAGACCCGGAACAUUUAGAACGCCCUCCGACAAAGCCAUGACGUCUUCUCAUGGGCACAUUCUGAUAUGAAGGGAAUUCAUCCCUCCAUCGCCUCUCAUAGGCUUAACAUCUUGCCAACAGCAAGACCCGUCCGACAGAGGGUUAGACGUUUCCACCCGGACAUGCAAAAGAUUAUCCGGGAUGAGAUCGACAAGUUGCUGGAAGCCGGAUUCAUCAGAGAGGUGGAGUACCCGGAUUGGUUGGAAAAUGUAGUGGUGGUACCCAAAAAGGAAGGCAAAUGGCGGGUGUGCGUCGAUUACACCAACCUCAAUAAUGCAUGCCCAAAAGACAGUUUCCCUUUGCCACGUAUCAACCAAAUUGUGGACUCCACUAUUGGGCAAGGGAUGCUCUCCUUCUUGGACACCUUCUUCGGAUACCACCAAAUCCCCAUGUCCCCGACUGACGUAGAAAAAACAGCCUUCAUAACGCCACACGGUCUUUAUUGCUACAAAGUCAUGCCGUUCGAACUCAAAAAUGCUGGCGCCACUUAUCAGAGACUGAUGACGAAGAUCUUCAAACCUCUGGUCGGCCACACAGUAGAGGUAUAUAUUGAUGAUAUCGUGGUUAAAAGCAAAACCCGAGAGGAACAUGUCCUCCAUUUGCAAGAAGUCUUCCACCUCUUAAGGAAGUAUGACAUAAAGUUGAAUCCUGCUAAGUGCGCCUUUGGCGUAAGCGUUGGAAAAUUCUUGGGAUUUAUGGUCAGCCAAAGGGGGAUAGAGGUUAGCCCUGAUCAAGUCAAGGCAGUCAUGGAAACACCACCCCCCAAGAACCAAAAGGAAUUACAGCGCCUCACAGGCAAGCUCGUUGCGCUAGGACGCUUUAUAACUCGCUUCACUAAUGAACUGCGACCUUUCUUCUUGGCAAUACGAAAAGCUGGAGCGAGCGGAUGGACAGACAGCUGUCAGAGCGCUUUUGAAAAAAUUAAACAUUGCCUCAUGCAACCGCCCAUCCUGAGCAGCCCCCUCCCUAAAGAAAAAUUGUAUAUGUAUCUGGCUGUAUCGGAGUGGGCAAUUAUCGUUGUUCUAUUCCGUUGCCCCUCGCCCAAGGAGCAGAAACCUAUUUACUACGUUAGCAGAGCGUUGGCGGACGUAGAAACUAGGUAUUCAAAGAUGGAGCUAACGGCCUUGACUCUUCGAAGUGCCGCCUAGAAGCUCCGCCCUUACUUCCAAGCCCACCCGGUGGUCGUGCUAACUGACCAACCCCUUCGCAGCAUCCUGCACAAACCGGACUUAACCGGAAGAAUGCUUCAAUGGGCCAUAGAGUUGAGCGAAUACAGAAUCGAGUUCCAACCAAGGUUGUCCAUUAAAGGCCAAGUGAUGGCUGACUUCGUGCUAGAAUACUCCUGAAGGCCUAACCAACGCAAAGAACCAAGUGAAAACGAGUCGUGGACUUUGCAGGUUGAUGGAGCCUCCCGGUCAUCAGGAUCCGGAGUAAGGCUCCUGCUGCAAUCCCCAACAGGAGAACAUCUAGAGCAAGCCAUCCGACUGGGGUUUCCCGCCUCUAACAAUGAAGCAGAGUAUGAGGUCAUCCUAUCCGGAUUGGACCUCGCCCUGGCUCUAUCCGUCUCCAAGCUCCGGGUCUAUAGUGAUUCCCAACUCGUGCUAAGGCAUGUCCAGAAGGAAUACGAAGCUAAAGAUGUACGCAUGGCGCGAUAUCUGACUAAAGUAAAGGACACCUUACAACGGUUCACUGAAUGGACGAUCGAAAAAAUUAAACGAACUGAAAAUGGACGUGCCGAUGCCCUGGCAGGCAUAGUUGCCUCCCUCCCCAUCACAGAAGCCAUAUUGUUGCCUAUACAUGUACAAGCCAACCCUUCCGUCGCAGAAGCCUCCACUUGCAAUACCAUUGAGGCAAACCAAGCAGACAACCAAGGAUAGACGGAAGCCGUCAUAGAAUAUCUCCGGACAGGCACUCUGCCCGAAUAGCCCAAGUAGGCACACAAGACCCAGGUACAAGCCGCCCGUUUCACCCUGAUCGGGGGGCACUUGUACAAGCGAUCCUUUACAGGCCCCUAUCUCAGGUGCUUAAACCACUCAGAAGCCCUGUAUGUGUUAACUGAGUUGCAUGAAGGAGUAUGUGGAAAUCAUUUAGGGGGCAGAACCCUGGCGCACUGGGCGCAUUCACAAGGCUAUUAUUGGCCCACGAUGAAAAAAGAUGCGGCAACCUAUGUAAAAAAAUGUGACAAGUGUCAAAGGCAUGCCCCCAUACCACAUGUUCCGUCGGAAACGUUAAAGCCAAUUUCUAGUCCCUAACCCUUCGCGCAGUGGGGCAUGGACAUAGUAGGACCCCUACCAAUUGCAGCUACUCAGAAAAAAUUCCUGCUCGUCGCCACAGAUUACUUCAGUAAAUGGGUGGAAGUUGAAGCAUACGCUAGCAUCAAAGACAAAGAUGUCAUCAAGUUCGUAUGGAAGAACAUCAUCUGCCGCUUCGGAAUCCCCCAAACCAUUAUAGCCGACAACGGUCCACAGUUUGAUAGCAUCGCUUUCCAGAAUUUUUUUUUCGGAACUAAACAUCUGGAAUUCAUACUCCACACCGUGCUAUCCUCAAAGUAAUGGGCAAGCAGAAGCCACAAACAAGAUCUUAAUAACUGCCUUAAAGAAGAGGCUCGAGCAAGCCAAAAGGAAGUGGGUGGAGGAGCUACCUGGCGUCCUGUGGGCUUAUCGAACCACACCCGGACGUUCGAUAGGAAACACUCCCUUCGCCCUCCCAUACGGUAUGGACGCAGUCAUUCUUACUGAAAUAGGGCUACCCACUAUCCGGACCAAGGCAGGAGAGCAGGAUGAUGCAAAUGCGGAGUUAGGAAGGAACUUGGACUGGGCAGACGAAGUAGGAGAAACUGCAUCCAUCUGGAUGGCAGACUAUCAACAAAGGGCAGCCGCUCACUACAAUCGCAAGGCAAGACCCGAAAGUUUCAAAAGUGGAACGCUGGUUCUUAGAAAGAUUUUCGAAAACACUGCUGAGACGGGAGCAGGAAAGUUUCAAGCCAAUUGGGAAGGUCCUUAUAUAGUGUCCAAGACAAGUGAAAGUGAAGUCUAUCAUCUACAGAAGCUAGAUGGAACCCCAUUGCUUCGACCAUGGAAUGUACCCAAUCUAAAGCAAUAUUACCAAUGAAGCAAAAACAGAAGUACAAAAUGAAUGAGUAUGUUUUAUUAAUACUUGUGAAAUUUUAUACAAAAAGGCUCUUCGGACUACUAAUACAGAGAGAAAAAGCAGUAAAAGUUACAAAAAGAAAAGCUCUCAUUGGGAGGGCUUGCGAUGCAACUUUUCUUUCUCGCCCGGGGGAAUCGAAGGGACAUCCCGUUUGAUGCAAUGCUUCUUCAUGCAGCAAUGGUAGCCAAAGAGAUACAUCUCGUCUACCUGCUUCUGGUAGUCCGUCUCGAGUUCCUCUCUCUCCGCAGCAAACUCAACCUCCAACUCUUCUUUUUGUGUUGAUAAGCGCAACUGCAAAUCCUCUUUCUGUUUUUUCUCAAUUGACACCUCUGUCCUGAGUUGUCUUACUUCCCCCCUCAGUUGGGCCGUCUCGUUUUCCGCCUCGUGCAAGCGGGCGUCGGUAGCUUCCUCUCGGCUCUUCGCCUCUGCUAGCUCUAUCCGGAUAGCCUCGUUGUCAUCCUGGGACCUCUUCAAGGCUUCAGCACUCUUUUCAGAGGCUCUCCGGGCAGCGGAUAAGCUGGCUUCGGCCUGCUCCAAUCUCGAGCGCAAUUCCUCUUCACCGCUCAUGUGCUGGGAGACGAAGGCCUUCAUGUGAUCGGAAACCCGCAGCAAGUUUGUAAAAAGAUCGUGUUGUCGAACCAUGCCGCGAAUACCACUCACCAGCUGCAGGAAAAACCCACAACAAAAAGUACAAGUUGCAAGCCAUGUAAAAAGCACACCAGUAUGGCAAGAAAAAUCAAAGGAGGAUAAGUUAUACCAUUUCCAUCGCUUCAAACAUUUUCGCUGUAGGCGUAGCAACAUCUGAGCCGGAUGGAAUCCGUUUUAACAUAUCUCCCAACUCCGCAUAGCUGACAGGACUAGCGGAGGUGCAAGUUGCAUCAUCAACGGGACUCUCCCCUGACGAGGCACUAGGGUGUGACUCCUCCCCCGGCUCCGGACCCCCAUCAUGCAUGGUCGGCUGGAUCUCUUCGGGCGAACCCUCAUCCGGGACCAACACCGGGUCGGUUGGGUUCUCUUCCGCCAUCUCCGUCUCACUCUCCUCCGGAUGAUCCUCCUGGGCGGAUGAGCAGCUGACUUCGAUGGUUUCCAGAAGAAUAUCCUGAAGCCGCCCGCUGAUGCCAGACUUUAAAUCGUGAGCCAGACGAGACCUCCUUGUAGCUGGCCUUUUCACCGGUACAAGGGCAAGGGAGCUCGACUCACAAGGGGGCAAACCCUGCCCUUCAACCCUCGUUUCUUCCAUUGGAGGCGCCAUAGAAGGCAACGUUUCAGCGCAAGAAGCCUCGGCUACACCCGCGUCCGGAGGGGAAGAGUCGGGCUGACACACUGAGAUUGCUUCCUCAACCAGAAGAGCCAUCCGUUUAGCCGCUGGCAUUGAAGGCCCCGAUCCGUUUAGACCCGUGAGACGUCCGGAACCGCUUGAAACAGAAGACAAACCGGAGGAAGCUGGAGAUCUUAUUAUUAUUCCCUCCACGGGAGCUGGAGAGCUUAUUACUAUUCCCUUUGUGGGAGCUGGCGAUUUUAUUACUACUCUAUUUUCGGGAGUUGGAGGUUUUAUUGCUUUUCCCUUUGAGGGAACCUUUUUCUUCGUUCUAGUUGGGGCGGCAGUAGGAGGAGAGGGCGCGGAGCGUUUAUCACCAGGGGCCUUCCGCAAAGUCCCCUCUUGCUUUUUUUUCCUCCCGUUCGUUGAGAAGUGCUUUGCGUGCUUGGGCGUCUGCCUUUUGCACCGUCGUGUAGAAUGAGAGAUCUUUUAAAAUGAAAUGCUUCCCAGCCACCACCUCUUUGGGCAGCCGCCUCGGGAGUAUGUUGAGCACGUACGGCUGGGGCACUUGGGUAACCAAGCGGAGAUUCUGCGCGGAGAGAAGCGUUUCACAGCUCCUCUCGUUUGCCGCAAUCUAAAAUAGCCUGUUCAACCGGUCAAACGAGGCUUUUUCCACCCACUCUACCACCUUCCCCCUCCUAUCCUUGCCUGCACCCAAGAAAACAAAGCAUGUCAACCACCUAAUAAUGUUGACCUAACUCACAACCACGGGAGGACAGGGAGCAACUUAUACAUACCUAGGACCUUCAAUGACCGGUUGAGAGCAAACUGCUUGUUCGGAUGCGUGGUCAAACCCACCCAUACACCCUUGAACAGCACGUGUAAAAAGAACCUCCAGUAGUGAAAGGUCCAAGUUGAACAGCAUGCUCAGGAUGCUGCACCCCAUCAGCACCCGGACCAUGUUCGGAUGGAUGUAAGCCGGAUCCGGGUGACGUGGAGAAAUUCUUUGAACAAUGAUGGGAGAGAGAACCGGAGCCCAGCAUUGAAUUGCUCCUUGGUGAAGUAGAUAGCGUUGUCCGCAGAUUUCUCAGUCGACAUGGCCUCUUCGUCCACAAGGUGAACGGACACUCCAUUCGGGAUGCAGAAGCGUUCGCAGAACUCCCUCACGUUUAGCUUGUCCACAGAUUUUUCCGCAUGGACCUCUCCGGACGCAUCUUUGCCGCUCUACCCGGCCGCACUAGACGAAGCAGCGUUCUUUUUCGCAGACAUUUUUUAGAGUAGGGUUGAAGCAAAACCUGCAUGACAGAAUGUCAACAGUAAAAAACAUGGACCCGACCCCACAACCCUAACGGCAAAAAACGCUCAGAAAACCUAACAUCACCAGUAUCCCCAUCCCAACCCUUGGCUCUACCACAAACAAAAAUCGGUAGCCCACAAAAGGCGCAGGGGGGCAACAGAAACCCUAACGCACCCAAAACACGAUCAAAACCCCCUGAAAAAACCCUAAAAACCAAUAUCGACCCCCAAUCGUAAAGUAGAUUGCCCAACAAGCCAGAAACAACCAUAAAGCAAACACAAACGAGGACAAGGCAGAAAUAGAGAACGUACCGAGUGUAAAAUGGCAAAAUGGAGAUAAAGUCCACGGUGCACUCACCGUCACUGAUCGAAUAUUGCUAGCAGAAACCCUAGAACCUCACUCACAGACGAAGAUACGCAGAAGGCUGAAGAGAAAGCGCUACCAAUAGAAAAUGCAGAAGAAAAAAUGCAACAGUAGGGGGCUCGAUCUGCUAUUUAUAGUGGACAGCCCCUCGGUAUCCCAAACGACCAACCGCGCCGUUUCUGAAAAGACACGCUGCUUGGAAAUUCCCAGAGAUGUCGGCUCAUCAUAAAUGCUCUUUUUCCUUUUUCGCCCCCGCGCACCACGUGGCCCAAUGAGCGCAAAAAGUAACCUCAGAUUCAAAAACAAUCAUUUUUUAACCUGCUCAUUCUGCCCGGACAAAAUCGGCAGGUUAAAAGGGGGGCAUUGUAGGGACCCUUCCCCCUGAUGACACAUGGCGCGCCUCGCUGUCCGGAGCGACUCCAUCCGGACUCCCCAAAGAAGGACACGUGGCGCGCUCCCCCUAUCCGAAUUCCCUCAGGGAGAAGCACACGGCACUCGCAAGCAUCACAUCCGGACGAUAGCAUAUCCUAUCCGAAUAUGUUGUCCGGAUCGUUGACUAAAGUAAGCAAGUCUUAAUGACAGCCUGCCACAGCCCACGUUUCACCACCUGCAGAGCGAAAGGACAGAAGUGAUGGCAAGUCACCUUCUACGAUCUCUGACAGCCGCCCGUAGGGUGAUGAUGGCCCUGCCAUCACCUAGAGGCAUCAUGACGAGCCAAAAAGUCUCCCUACCAUUAAAGAGGAGGACAGAGCUUCUGAUACUAUAUAUAUGGACCUUCACACAAGGAGGAAGGUAAGCUUGCUAUACCUAGUAAAAGGUCAACUGAUUAAUCUCUCUAAGAUAUGGCUGACAAAACCAUCGGAGGGUGUGUCCGGACACCCUGUCCGGACAUCUUUUGCAAGGACAACUGAACCAGAACUCUAUCUUGGUUGAAAACGUGCGUCCAUUUGGCAGUUACGUGGAUCAUCGGGACGCAAGGCCUCAACAACCACCACCAUCGUCGCCUCGGUACUCAGAUGCAGACUAUAAUUAAAUUUUCGAAGACGGUGACUCUAUAAUAAUAAGUCUUUCAAUAGUCAAUACUUCCGAUUCGAAAGUAUGACUAUAAUAAUUAAAUUUAAAAAUUUUAAAAUCAUUUUUAUUCUCAAUAUUGGGAACAAAGUCUUCCAUUAUUUUUUUUAAAAAAAUGCAGUAGUGUUAAAACAAUUUAUCUUCAAAACUAAUGUUAAAAAAAAAGUAAAAUUAAAUAAAAAUUAGUUUCACCUAUUAUUAUAUUUUUAUUUUCUAGCUUUUGGAUGUUGUUAUCAUUUUUUCCCUUCAUGUGCUAGGAUGACCGAGUUGAAUUUGUUAUUUGGGUGGAGCUAAUUUGUUUAAAUAUUCAUUCUUUGGGGAAUAAAAAUAAUUUUAAUAUAGCAAAACUAAAACAUAUAAUAUAGAAGAUGGACAAAGUUAAGGUAAACACUCAAAGAAAAUUAAGAUUUUGGGACUUCUCAAUUUAAUAAAGGUUUUGUUGUAUUAAGGGUACAUGGGUUAUACCAAUAAAUAAGUAUUAGCCCAAAAGUGAUGCAAAUUGUGGGUACGUUGUUUAAGAAUAUAUACAUUUUCUUUUUUAUUUUCAUCCUUUAACACUAUGAUAUAUUUAGAGUCCAUUUGGUAGUGAUUCUAUAAAACGCUUUUAAUAUUUGAAAUUGAAAAUUUUUGCUAAUUAUUUUAAAUUUUUUUUUGGAGCUAUUAUUAAUUUUAAAAUAACUCUAUUAUUUCUAUUUUAUGUAGAAUUAUUAUUUUCUAUUUUUUUAACCUAGCAAAUAAGUUUCAAAUUAAAUGAGGCUUAAUGUGUUAGAUUUAUUAACAAGUUUAUUAAUUUUUGAAAAUAAUUUGAAACUCAAAUAAUAAACUCAGUAAUACUAGAAAUUUAUGGAUAAAUUUUUUUUUCAUAAUGACUAUUAUUUUUUUCUACACAUAAUUAUAUUUUAAUAAAUUUCUCACUAUAAAAAUGAACUUCAAAUUGACACUUUGUAUUAAAUUUAUUAAUAUGUUUAACAAUUUUCAAAAAUAAUUUGGAACUAAAAAAAUAAGUACAAUCAUAAAAAAAACAAUAGAUUAAAACUAAUAUAUUAUGAAUCAUGACUUUACUGUUUCUUCUAUAUAUACAAAUAUAUUUUUUGAAUUUAGGUAAAUAAAUUAUAAUUUGAGUAAGACAAAUUAAUAAUUUAAGUUCUUUAAUGAAUUUUUAAAUUUUUAAGAAUAAUCUUGAAUUCAUAAUUGCCCUCCUCCUAUGAGAAUGGCAUAUUGCCCACCAGUACACAAAAUAAAACCGAUGGAAGUAGGUAGAAAAUUAUUUAGGAAGAACCACUCAGAUUAUGCAGUAUGGUAAUGUACAUCCAUAAGUUGGUUAAUCAGCUAUUAAGUUGUAAUUUCCAUAAUGUUAUAAUGAUCUUCUACAGAGUAUCUGAAAAUAAGUUGAUGUUGAAACUUGUCAUAUUUUCAUAUGCCUUUCAAAGAUGGAUCCCUUUAGUUAGUCAAUAAUUGAUACUGGUUAAUUUCAAGUAUGCUUAACUGUUAUUCCUAAUUCUUUGUGAUGAAUCAAUCCUCAUUGGUGAAAUGAUUAUGUAUCUGAAGUUUGAGACAACAACACAUUAGCAUCAAUAAAUUCUUGGAUGUAUGAUGGAGUUGUGAGUUUUCACAAUGGCCUACUGCUUCAUCUAUUAUAUAAUGGUUUUUCUUUCCCUUGGUUAAAUGUUUGUGUGAUUAUUUUUGGCUUAUUGGUUGGUCAAUCAAAUAUUGAACCCUUUUAAGUUGGUUCCUACAUCUAAAACUAAAUUGUUCAUGAAGUUUCUGAUUGCCUCAUCCUGUCUUUUCCAUUUAUGCAUGUAGGUACAAUGAAUUUGAUCAACCUGUCUGUAGGGUCUGUGAUGUCAUUUUGAAAUCUGAAUCCCUAUGGGAUGCACACCAAGCUUCUCGUAAACAUCAUGAGGUGAUGCUUACUGUCCUAGUUAUGUUAUGAAUAAAGCUAUUGAAAAAUUGCAUUCAGAGGUUCUAUAGCAUGUACAAUCACACACGACACAAAAGAUUAUUGUAAUUUCAUUCCUUUAUGAUAGAUAAAUUCUAAAAUAAGAAUGCAGUGAAAUCAUGUAUGAAGAUAUCUACAGAUUGUCACACUCAAGAGUCGAUAUUGAAGUGGUGUAGGGUGAAGGGCUUGAGUAAGGGCCUCUCUCGAGGUUUGUUUCAUUGAGUAAGAGCCUCCCUUGAGUUUGAUGUCACACCUAUCUUUCUAUAAUGUAGUCGUGUCCCUCACCUUGGCAAUAGAUGUUAAUCCUUGGAUUGGAUGGGUCCUUCCUCUUCAAAAUCCUUCUUUCUUUCCUUUUGUCUAGGGUGGAUAAGUUGGUUUAUCUUCUGCUAGUAGGACAAAUUUGGAGAUUCAAAGUUUCCCUUGAAUUGAAAGACUUUAUACAGUUAGUGGCUUAUAGUAAAGAGAAUAUAAGCUAUCAUCUUGGGGUUAGAAGACCCUACAAAGUUAUUGACCGUGAUGAUUGUGUUUCAAGUAGGAAGAGUAGAGAAAAUAGAUUACUCAGUGUUGGAUAUACUUUCUACUUUUUGUUCUUGAAAUAAAAAAAAUCAGUAGUAAAUUUUAUAUAAGAUGCAAGAACUCUUAAAAGUUUGCAUGAAAAAAGUAAUGGUUCUGAAAGCUAUUUAAAAAAUUUGAGGUAUUAGAAAGUUUUUAGUACCUCAAAUUUUAAAAUUUCUAAAAAUGAUUUUUAAAGAGAUAAGGUGAAUCUAUUCUUUUUGUACAAGAUGUUUUACUUUUUUAUAGAAGUUUCUGAUUUUAAAAACAAAAAAUAGGAAGUGUAUCAAAAUAGACAUUUAGUUUCCCAUUGCUUGUUUCUUGUGAUCUUUGGUUGUGUAUCUUUUCUAUGGUGGGUAUUUAGUGUUCUUUUAAGGAUUUGUUAGGGAUAAUAGGAGCAAAGUUAGUUGAUGCCUUUCAAAUUGAGGGAAAGGCCAGGAUAUUUGAAUAAUAGAUAAAGGUAUGGUGUAUACUUCUUGUUGCCCUCUUUGGGUUUUCAUUAUUAGGGAGUUCACUAUCAUUUUGUUUAUUUUGAAUUUGGGUCCAGAGCAACAUAUGUUACUCCCUUAAAUGAGUGUUCUUAUUUUUAAGCUCCAUACCUUUUGGGUUUUACCUGGAGCCUUAUCAGGAUGUGAUAUUUUUGUUCAUGUCAUUCUUCCUACAUGUGACUUUCAUUUCAAUUCUCUAUUAGAGUUGUUUGUUUUGUAUGAAAAAUACCUAAUGAUUUUUAUGGUGAAAAAACAUCCUCUGCCUGCCCACUAUUAUCAAAGGUAAGCCUUGGUGGUAAAUAGUGCAAACCAUGGGUGAAGUGGUUUGCUUUAGACAAGGUGUCUCUGAUCAUAGCUAUGUAUGUUGUGAAAAACACAAUUUGUGUGUAAAGAUGAAUGAAUGGUGCAGUGAGUGUUUUCCUUUUUUCUGGAGUAAUCCACAUUAACUAUCUCUCCUUUUAAUAGAAAUAACCAAAGAUUAGAAAUAGGUCAUCUAUGAUAGCCAUCGAAUGAUGCAUAAACACCAAUAGCUAUUCUUAGAUAAAAUGCCAGCUAUUCUAGGUUUUACUUCUCCUUUUUUCCCCACUAUUGAAACCCUAAGCACCAUUAUGCUUAGGGAUUUCCUUUGGGGAGGUGGGAAUCUGGAGCGAAAACCUCAUUUAGUAAGAUGGGAAUUGGUGUGCUUAAGUAAAAAGAAAGGGGGUUUGGGGGUCAAGUGCCUUUCCACAUUCAAUAAGGCUCUUCUUUGCAAAUGGAAUUGGUGAUUUGCGAAUGAAAGAGGGGUUUUGUGGAAUCAAGUGAUUAGAGGGAAGUAUGGGGAAGAAAGAGGGGGGUGGUGCUUUCGGGAAAUGAGAGAGGCGUAUGAUGUUGGGUUAUGGAAAGGGAUAAAGAUGGAAUGAGAUAUUGUGAGAACUAGGAUUUCCUUCUCAGUAGGUAAUGGGCAUAGGUGAGAUUUUGGAGGGAUAAGUGGUGUGGGGAUUCUCCUUUGUCUGUGUCAUUUCUAUCCUUGUUUGCUUUAGCUGUUGAUGAGAAGGCAUGAUUGGUGGAUAUUUGGGACUCCUCAACUGAGGGGGGUAGGGGGGGAUGGAACCCUUGCUUCUCUAGAUCCUUUAAUGAUUGGGAGGUGGAGGAGGCGGAAAGCUUCUUGAUGCGGCUGCAUGGGAAGAGAGUGUGUGGUGAUGUGUAAGACACGGUGUUUUGGAACGAAACAAAGAGUGGGAAGUUCUUGGUCAAAUCCCUCUACUAUGCUCUAGAGCUGGAUAGCUCUUCUUCAUUUCCCCCAAGUUGCAUUUGGAAUGUGUGGGUGUAGCCCAAGAUUAACUUCUUUGCUUGGGAGGCUACAUGGGCCAAAGCUUUAACUUUGGAUUUAAUUCAAAAAGGAGGACGGGCCUUAGCAAAUAGAUGUUUUUUGUGCCAUGAGAGGGAAGAGACUAUAGGCCACCUUCUUUUUCAUUGUACUAAAGCAAGGGUCUUGUGGGAAUUGUUCUUUUCUUUGGUUGGGGUGUCAUGGGUGCUUCCUUCUUCAAUUAAAGAGACCCUCCUUAGUCGGCAUGGUUUGUUUGUGGGCAAAAAGCGUAUGAAGGUGUGGAGUGCAACUCCUCUACAUAUUUUUUUGGACGGUUUGGAAGGUGAGAAAUAGAUUAGCCUUCGAUCUAGAGACUCAAAUACUAUUUUGUUUUUUCCCUUUGGUUAGAGGCAAAGUUGUUUAUAGCUGAUCACCCUCUAACUUUAGUUAGUUUUGUUGAUUGGUUGAGCUUUAGUUAAAGUCGUUUUUUUUUACUUGCUUGAGCGUUUGUUUUCUUUUUCUUUUUUGGCUGGUUUGGCGAUGGGUGUAUAGGUGUUGUAUACCUUGAGUUGCUCUUUUGACGUCUCUUUUUUAAUAGAUCUUUUUCUUUACCUAUCAAAAAAUAAAAAUUAUGCUUUAUCUCAUGAUGUAAUCAAAUGCAUAUGAAGAAAAAGUGUAAUUCUAUCCAAACAAAGAAUUCAAGCACUCUCUCCUUUCAACACACAAGAGGCGAUAUACCACCAAACAACGUUUGUCAGGGGUUAAAAUAUGUAGGGAAAGAUGUUACCUAAUGGAUAAAAGAAUGCUUACCAAGCAAAAGGACCUACAAGGAGCAAAUGAAUUGCACAAGGUUAAUUGGGAUGUAUUUAAAGGUGAAGAAGAUGGAGAGAUAUAUUUAAAGCUCAAAGAUGUGUUUCUGCAGUCUUGCUUCGAGUGGUCUUUGCAUGCAUUUGCGCAAUAAGGAUGUCUCUUUUUGAUUUUGUAGAUAGUUCAGGUUUGAUGCAAGUGGUUUUUGUGAGUGUUGAGUUCAGGUUUUCUAUUUAUUUAUUUAUUAUUUAUUUUUAUAACCACUAUGUCUUGGUGGUCCUAUGUAUAAUGUACUAGGUUUGGCCUCUUUGUGGCUCUUAGAUUUGCAUAUCUUAUUAUCUAUCAAAAACAAAAAAAAAAAAGGCAAUUAAAGAGAUAGAGGAGAUUGAUGGAUGUGAUAGAAUAAUUUGAGUUCUAGUUAAAGCAGCCACAAGAAAUUUUUUUAAAAUCAUUUUCUUGUUUGCUUUUCUUUUUUUCUUUGUUUUCAUCUCUUUCUUGAUCUCUUUCCUUCUGUCAGAAACAACAAUUUAUAUGCAUAGCAUGUUGGCUGUCUCUGACUCUUUGUGUUCAGGGGAGAAGUUGUUCACAAACUUAGACAAUCACCUCCCCUCUUAGCCAACUCAUCAACUCUCUAGGUAGGCAACCAAGCUUUCCAAGGCAACCCAUGCUUCUAGAAUGGUCAACAAAUCGGUGAAUUUAGAAAGCAUAUCUCAAUACUCCCUCCUAUCCAGAAGAGAUUUCUAAUUCAGAGCAAGUACACCACUUUCAAAGUUGGGGUGAGGAUAAGAUUUUUUUUCCCCUUAAUGUGCAAAUCAAUACUGGGUGGCUUAUAUGAAAACGUCCUAACAGGCCUAUUUUUGUGUUUCCUGAGCAAUUUCCCAGACCAAUUUGCAAUGGAGUACCAUCAAAGUGGAUCUUAGGCUAUCAAUAGGAGAAGAGGGGAUGGGGACGAAUUUCUCAAAGACCUCAUAAUUGCCCUCCUCCUAUGAGAAUGGCAUAUUGCCCACCAAUACACAAAAUAAAACUGAUGGAAGUAGGUAGAAAAUUAUUUAGGAAGAACCACUCAAAUUAUGCAGUAUGGUAAUGUACAUCAAUAAGUUGGGUAAUCAGCUAUAAAGUUGUAAUUUCCAUAAUGUUAUAAUGAUCUUCUACAGAGUAUCUGAAAAUAAGUUGAUGCUGAAACUUGUCAUAUUUUCAUAUGCCUUUCAAAGAUGGAUCCCUUUAGUUAGUCAAUAAUUGAUACUGGUUAAUUUCAAGUAUGCUUAACUGUUAUUCCUAAUUCUUUGUGAUGAAUCAAUCCUCACUGGUGAAAUGAUUAUGUAUCUGAAGUUUGAGACAACAACACAUUAGCAUCAAUAAAUUCUUGGAUGUAUGAUGGAGUUGUGAGUUUUCACAAUGGCCUACUGCUUCAUCUAUUAUAUAAUGGUUUUUCUUUCCCUUGGUUAAAUGUUUGUGUGAUUAUUUUUGGCUCUUAUUGGUUGGUCAAUCAAAUAUUGAACCCUUUUAAGUUGGUUCCUACAUCUAAAACUAAAUUGUUCAUGAAGUUUCUGAUUGCCUCAUCCUGUCUUUUCCAUUUAUGCAUGUAGGUACAAUGAAUUUGAUCAACCUGUCUGUAGGGUCUGUGAUGUCAUUUUGAAAUCUGAAUCCCUAUGGGAUGCACACCAAGCUUCUCAUAAACAUCAUGAGGUGAUGCUUACUGUCCUAGUUAUGUUAUGAAUAAAGCUAUUGACAAAUUGCAUUCAGAGGUUCCUUUAUGAUAGAUAAAUUCUAAAAUAAGAAUGCAGUGAAAUCAUGUAUGAAGAUAUCUACAGAUUGUCACACUCAAGAGUCGAUACAGUAGAAGAAAAACAUUUGUCUUUGUAUUUACAGAUUAACAUGUACAUCAAAAUGCAAUGAAUAUUGUCUAUCAAAAAAAAAAAAAAAAAAAAUACAAUGAACACAUGUAUUUGUGUAUCUAUUUAUACAUGCUAUUGAUUAUUUGCAUGUCAAAAUCAGGUUGUUUGAUUUUAAAAGAUUCUAUAUGGAUUCAAAAGAUGUAUGUGCUAGGGUCUUAUCUUUGCUACUAAAGCUAUACUUUUAAUAUGCUUUGUUUUUUUUUUUUUUUGAAAUUUUAUGCACGUUUCCUCUUAUAUAUUACUUUUAUGUUUAUUAUCUAUACAUAAUUAACAAUUCAUGAUGACAUCAUCGAUCAUUAUUUUCCUGUGUUUCAUAUUGUAUCCUAAGUGGAAAUAUCAUUGAAAUCCUUCUAUACUUGUGUAAAAAAUAAACAGCUGUCAUGCAUAGAUUAUCGCAUAGUGUAUAAUUAUAAUUUUGUUUUUAAACAAAACAAACAAAAUAGGGUCUGCAACCCUACUCAGCAGCUGCUCAGUUGACAGCUCCAAUCUGGCUCUAUGCACCUAAAGAUUAUUUUGUACUUAAAAGGAACUAUUUAAAAAAAAACACAAAAAGAAGAAAAUAUUUUUAAUCUGUCGUUGGAUGAAACAGGGUGAAUGAGCCCUAUCAGGGUAUAAGGUUUUUUUUUUUUUUUUGGUUUUUGUUUUUGUUUUUUGUUUUUAUUUAUUUAUUUAUUUUUUUAUCAUAAACAAUAAUUCGUUUAUAAGGAUUUGAAAGUACAUGUGAAGGAUGAGAAUUCCUUCCUGAAAAUAAAAAUUUUGAUUAAACAUAAACAAAUGGAUGAUUUCCCCAAAAUGCAAAACGAGACCUCAAUAUAUUGCCAAAAGAAACCAUAGAAAGGAAAGACUAUUCUCUAUGGGCUGAAGCUUUGCUCUAAGCUUAACUAUUUUGACUUUUAUGAUUCACACACCAAAUUCUAAUUGAGCUAGAGUCCCCUUGAAAGCUGUAGUUGUUGGGCCUCAAAAAGAGGAAUAGAGAUAAAUUAGGUUCCAUAUAGAUUUUGUAGUUCUCCGCUUAUCCUAAAAAAUCUUUACAUUUCUUUUCUUCCAAUUUGCCAAAAUUUUUUGCCUCUAGAAUAAAUUGCUCCUCAAACCUCUAAAAGAUAUCGUCAUCAUGUCACCUAUGCUCCUAAAAGUGAACUGAAACUUUAUUAAAUAAAUAAUAAAAAUCUACAUGUUUAUUACACCAUGUCAUGCUUUUAAGGGCUCUAUCCUAACAAUUGAGUCAUUCUUUCUUUAUCUACAUUUCAAAAUUCUUUCUUUUAGGAAUCCUUCCUUGGAUAGAGUUUUUUCCCUUUGUUUUUCUCAAACUUGAUUAACUUCUUAAAACUUUCUUGUGAUGGGUACAAGGUCCUCAUCUUCUUCACUAGCUUUUUCUUCUUCAUCAUCAAUGGUGGAGGCUUUAAGAGCAAUAUUUUUCUUCUUCUAAUCUUUCACUUCUUGAUGACUCUUCAUGAGUCAUCAAGGAUCCAAUCAAUUCCUCCAAAGGAAGUUUUGUAAGGUCCUUAGCUUAUUGGAUAGUCAUAACUUUGGCUUCUCAUUUCUUACAAAGAAAUCUUAGAAUCUUCAUGACCUCCUCUAAUUCCUUGUAAACCUUUCCCAAAGCUUGGAAUCCAUUAAUGAUGUCAGCAAACAUCUCAACAAUAGAUUUAUUAUCUUUCGUAGAAAUAACUCAUAAUUAACCACAAGAAUAUUGAUUUUAGAGUCUUUAACUUGAUUUGUCUCUUCAUAAGUUAUUUCUAAAAAUCUCCAAAUAUCAUAAGUGGAUUCACAUUGGCAAACGUAGUUAUAUUUAUUUCUAUCAAUUGUACAAUGUAAACAUUAAUAGAUAUCUUUAGCAUUUAAAUGAGCUUUUCUUUUGUUAAACUCAUCCCACUUUUAGCUAGGUUUAGGUAUAACAACUUCAUUCUCAAUUUGGUUUAGAAUAUGGGGACCAUUUUGGAUGAAAAAGAUCAUAAUCAAUGGAUUUAAAAAUAAUGUCGUCCUAGUUUCCCAAUAGAAGUAAUUGAUUCCCAAAAAGAACAAAUAUAUAUUAAUCGAAAACCCUUCCAUAUAAGAUGAGUUGGAAGAAUUAGCUAUUUUCUCUUAGACAAUUAAGUAAAAAACAAAAGGUCUAGCUUUGAUACCAAUUGUGAAAAAAAGCUAUUUUGAUUUAGAUAAUCAUUCAAGAGUGGGGCGAAUUAGGUAUUGAAACUAUUUUAAAAAAUAAUCAACUUAAGCAAGUUAUGUAAAGGAUAAGAAUGAAUAGAGAGUAAUAUUAAGAAAUUAAGGGAAUAAUAUUGCAAACUCUUUUAUAAUGGUUUGGGAAGCUGCCUAUAUCCACUCUCCUCAAGCUGCUAAUAGGGUGAAGGUUACACUUAGAUUCCAAGGUUCCAAUAGACCUUUACAAACUCUUCAAGUAAAAUGCCUACUUGAAUACUUCUCUCACAAUAUUAAAUUUUGAAGCUGUAUCCGUAUAGAGGCCAAGGUGUUUUAUGUGUCAGGCUUUUGUUAAUAUACUGCACUGGAAGCUUAAGUGAAAGCUCUUGAGUCAUUUAAUGUUGGGCUCUAAGGUUUAUAUUUGAUAUAUCUCAUAGGAUAGUUCUCAUUUCAGUUACUAUUGGCCAGGUGAAAGUUCCAAUACACAGCUGCUAUUUUAUGGUUCCUAGGUGUAAACUAGUAACGCUUUCAACUUUCUUGUGACUUAUGGAAUGCUGAGUAGAUUGAUGCAAAUUUGAGUGUAUUGAAGAAACUAAAGAUUUUUGUACAUGGAAUAGUAUAAUCUGUUCAAAAAGGGAAAAAAAAAUACUGCAGUAAUUUUUUUUUUUUUGAUAAAUAAAAUACUGCAGUAAUUUUGAAUGUAUGAUAUGAAUGCAAGGAGAUUAUAAUAAUUUCUCCCUGUUCAAUUGUCUAAACUCGCCCUGCUUUGUGCUUAAUCUUUGAACUUUUGACAAGAUUUUGCAAAGAUUUUAGACAGCAUCUACAAAAUUCCACUUUCUCAUUGAAAAUAUGAGCCACAAUUUUAUAUGAAUUGGUUUACAUCCUUUCAAUUGUUAUUAUUAUUUUUUUUUAUGUUUUGAUUUACCAUGAGUUAAUGAAGUGCUUAUACCACUACAGGCAAUUAAAAAUGUCAAAGCCAAUGCUGCUGGACUAACUCGGGCUAACAAUGCAAAACCUGAGGCCCCUAAACCUGAGUCCUCAACUGUAUUGUCUAAUGCUACAUCUGAACCCUCUAUGAAUUUGCAGAAGGCUCAGCUAUCAUCUGGGCUUCCUGCAGAUUUUUUUGAUAAUCAUGUGACAAAGAAGCAAAAAUCUGGUAAGAAAAAAACUGACAUCCAACUUAAGCUUUUCUUCAUCAGUUCAAUUCUAGGCUAUGGCAAUAACUACCUUAGGCUUGUACUUGUUCUGCAGCAUUUUCUAUUGUUAAAAACUAAAGUAAUUACUUUAGGUUUACAAAUGUAAGGAAGUACCCAAUUUUGAAUUCAGAGUUUGACUGAAAUUGAGAAGCAACCUAUUACCGAUUCUGAGCAUAUAUUCUAGAGUCCCACCUACCUGAUGCCCAAUAAGCCGGAAGAGUUGCUAAGUCCUUGUUUCUAGCUGUCCACAUACUUCAUGCAAAUCCCCUAUCAUAUUCUUCUUUCUUAGUUUCUUGGGGCAUCUCUAUGUCUGGAGAUUCAUUGCAGAGAAAUUCCUCGAUUACUCUUCUUUUAUUUCUAGACACCAAACCUCUGCAUUCUGACUGAUGAUCUUCAUUCAAAUAUUUUGACAGUCAAUGAGCACCCUUACAACUCCUGUUAAGCCUCAAUCCUGGUGAUCCUCCGGAUUCAAUUUAGCAGGUUUGUACGUCCUGCUUAAAGUACACCUUACACUUGAACCUUAUGUGGGAGUGACAAUCCUCACUGUGCUUGACAAGCUUGACAUUCCUAGGGGCCAAUACAGAUUCAAUAUCUUCUCCUUGCAAAAACAAGGACUUGCUAGAUUUCAGCCAAAAUGACUCAAGUUGGGCCCUGAAGCCCUUUGAAACACCCUUUCAGGUGGUUAAGAAAGCAAAAGGUGUUUGGUCUGUUAAGCUGACAAGUUUUCUAGAAAAACCAAGUAAUAGAACUUUCUGGGAUUUUUCAUUUGCUUCUUCAUCACUGUCUUUGACUGUUGAUAAAUUCCUGCAGUCAUGACUGUAAUCGCAAGUUGUUAUUAGUCUGGCAAUUUGUUCUAUAUUCCCUAGUUGAAAUUCAGGUUAGUCUGGUAACCUGUGGUUUUAGAGGAAUAAUUUAUAUUUCAUAAUGUAUCUCUAGGAAAUGAUGAUGUCAAGUUCCUAGAUCCAGAUUCAUACAACAAGACUGGGGGUUCUGCUUCUGCUCAAACUCAGUCAAUGGAGCCUCUUGAGUCGAAAAACAAUUUAGACGGAUUGUCCAGUUCUCACUCUGAAAAGAUGGGAAAAAGUGGAAUUCGUCAUGCCAGGGACCUUACCCAGACAUCAGGAAAGAUUGUUGGUUCAGAAACCAAGGAAGUAAAGGGUGCUCUUCCUGAAGGCUUCUUUGAUAACAAGGAUGCUGACCUUCGUGCACGUGGCAUUGUGCCUGUUAAGCCGGAUGUCAAGUAAGUUCUUGCUUCUGUUAUAUAAAUUUAUUUCUUUAAAAUGUCACUAUCAUCUAACAGGGAGUGUAAUAGAUUCUCUGGAAUAGUUGUCCCUUCCUUUAGAUUCUUUUAUGUCCUCUAGUACUGUUUCUUUUCUAUCAAAUUAGAGAAACAAGGUCUGAGAGGGUCUCAAAAGUGUGUAAAGAAAAUUUGAGAUUAUAUCUUGUUUGAAGAAUUAGUUUUCAGCACUCACUGGUCCAUCAUUGUCAUUUUUGAAGCUUUGUCAUCUUUUCAUCAUCGUUGUUAUCAUCAUCGUUGUAAAGAAAAAUUAGGACUCUGCCUUGUACUGACAGGUGUAUGUGAAUUGUGUACAUCACAACUGUAGUGUAGUGAAAUAAAUCUGGGUAUAAUUUAGCAGGGGAGGGUGUUAGAGAGGACUGGCUGUGUUAAAAGCCUUAGUGAGCCUCAGUGGAGGUUUCUCUGAUUCGUGGGAAGUUUAUUUUUGAUGGUGUAGGGACCUUUUAACCCUACAGCAUAAUGGCACGUGUUUAUUAUUGGAUACUUGAGAUGAUCAGAAAUUACGAUGUAUGAUUGCAUUACUUGGAACACUGAAUUAACCUUGUUAAGAAAUGUUAAAUCCUGGUCAGGGACGAGUACAAAGAAUUUGAAAAGUUGAUACAGGAGGAUUUGAAGGAGGUGGACAACCGUUUGGAAGAAGAAGAGGUCAGGAUCAUUUAUUCCUUGCACCAUUCCUAGAACCCAAUAAUGUAGUCUCUGGUGAUGUUUACUAAAGAUUGGAGUUAUAUCAUUAACUUGGUUUUGCAAUUUUAUGAUGUAGUUUGAUGCAGCUGAGAUGAUUGAAGAGGCCGAGUCUGUGGAGCAAAAGUAAGUCAAGUGUGGUCACGAGUAGUGUAUCACUUGGGUUCUCCUAUAUUUCCAAUGUUUUUGAGUUGGCCUUUUGUUCAGGGUGUAUUGGGAGAAAGUGGAAAUGCUGAAGAAGAAGAAAUUGGAGCUGAAGGCGGCCAGAUCCGGCAGACGGAGUAAAGAUCCUGAGGUCAGAGGCAAGGGGCAAAGCUCUAAAGGGGAUUCAUCCAGUGGUGAUGAUAGUGAUGGGAAUUUCACAGUUGAUUGGAGAGCACAACACCUGUGAAUACUUUUGUUUGAAAUUUUCUGGUAGCAUCGCCUGUGCAGACAUGUCUAUUAAGGAAAUAUUUCAUUAAGGAAAUAAAUUUCAAAUCAAAGUGUACUUGAAACAUAAAAUUUAUUAAUUUUUAAAAAUAAUUUGAAACUCAAAAACUGAUUUAAUUAAUACUAAAAGUUAUGAAAAUUAAUAACAUUAGUAAGUCAAAGAUCAAAAUUUAUUUUAAUUAUUUAGGUUAGUUUCUUUAUAUAUAUAUAUAUAUAUCAUUUUUUAAAAAUUUUAAAACUCAAAUAGUAUUAGAUUCACUAACGAGCUUAGUAAUUUUUUAAAAUAAUUUAAAACUCAGAUAGUUAUGGGAAUUUCACAGUUGAUUGGAGAGCACAACACCUGUGAAUACUUUUGUUUGAAAUUUUCUGAUAGCAUCGCCUGUGCAGACAUGUCUAUGUCGGCAUGCAAACACCUGAUUACAUUUGCUGGAGUUUGGUGCUGCUUCUUUCAUUCUGAGCCAUUCUCUAAAUACAGACUGACUAGAUUCUGGUUCAACUGGCUGCUGAUUGAAAGGGAUGGGGAGUGAGGCGAGGUGAGAGUAAGCCCUGGUCCAAGAUCCUAGAAUUUUAGAUUGUUUCUGAUUCUGUAUGCAUGGAUAUAAAGGGGCAGGUAGAAGAUGUGGGUUUUGGUUGAAACUUGAAUUCCGAUGCUAAGAUUUAGGCAAAAGGGUUAGGAAGGGAAUCAGUUUUAUGCUCUUAUUGUUUAUCAGGAGCAUUAUUAUCUGAAACACCUGCGCUAAAAUGCUAACAUUUAUCUUUUCACUACCUUCAAGUAUAUGGUGUAAUCGCACAACUAAAAUGCAAAAUUUUCUGGUGGGAUUAUCUCGUGAUUUCAGAAUCUUAAUUAAUUAAUAUUAUUAUUAUUAUUAUUAUUAUUGUUUUUGUUAGGGGGUGGCCAUUUGGUGGUAAUAGUGGGCAAGUUAGAGUCAGUUUAGUCGUGUGUUUAAAAAGUAGUUUUUCCUUUUUAAAAAUAAAAAUUAUUUGUUUCUAAUUUUUAAAAAUAAAGUGAAAUAAAAAGUAAGAGUCUGUUUGGCUGCGUGAUUUAAAAAUAUUUUUUAUUAUUUUUAAAAGUAAAAAAUUAUUUUUAAAAUUUUUUAACAUUGUUUUUGUUAGUAAAAUAGAGAAUAAUUGUUUGAGAAUAAGUAAAAGUUGUUUUCCUCCAUUUUUAAAAAUAAAAAAAAAUUAUAUAAAUUUUUUUAAAAAGUAUUAAAAAAACAAAUAAAUUUAAACAUGUUAUUAUUCCAUUUCUCUCUAUAGAAUUUUUUUUAAGUAUUAAACAAAAAUAAAAUAAAACAUGUUAUUAUUCCAUUUCUCUCUCAACAAUCUAAUCUUCCUUUAAAUUAUUCAUAUUUUUCUGAAUUUUUCUAGAAUAUUUCAUUAAGGAAAUAAAUUUCAAAUCAAAGUGUACUUGAAACAUAAAAUUUAUUAAUUUUUAAAAAUAAUUUGAAACUCAAAAACUGAUUUAAUUAAUACUAAAAGUUAUGAAAAUUAAUAACAUUAGUAAGUCAAAGAUCAAAAUUUAUUUUAAUUAUUUAGGUUAGUUUCUUUAUAUAUAUAUAUAUAUAUAUAUAUCAUUUUUUAAAAAUUUUAAAACUCAAAUAGUAUUAGAUUCACUAACGAGCUUAGUAAUUUUUUAAAAUAAUUUAAAACUCAAAUAGUAAACCAAUUAAUACAAAAAACUUAUGGAUAAAAAUUGGUUUAGAACAACUUUAUUGUUUCUCUUUCACAUAGAAUUCUUAUUCUUUAAUUUUUUUUUUCUUAGGCAAAUGAACUCUAAAUUAAAUAAGACUUAAUGCUUGGAUUCAUUAACGAGUCUCGUAAUUUUUAAAAUUAAUUUAAAACUCAAGUAAUGAACCAAUUAAUACUAGAAAUUUAUGGACAAAAAUUGGUUUAGAACCACUUUAUUGUUUAUCUUUUACAUAGAAUCCUUAUUCCCCAACUUUUUUCACUAAGCAAAUGAAUUCCAAAUUAAAUAAAACUUAAUGCAUUGAAUUCAUUAACGAGUCUAGUAAUUUUUAAAAUUAAUCUAAAACUCAAACAAUAAUAUAAUCAAUACUAGAAAUUUAUGAAAAAAAAUGGUUUAAAAUAACUCUAUUGUUUUUAUUUUACAUAGAAUUAUUAUUUUCUAUUUUUUUAACCAAGCAAAUAAGCUUCAAAUUAAAUGAGGCUUAAUGUGUUGAAUUCAUCAAUAAGUUUAUUAAUUUUUUAAAAUAGUUUGAAACUCAAAUAAUAAACUCAUUAAUACUUGAAAUUUAUGGAUAAAAAUUGUUUCAUAAUGAUGUUAUUUUUAUAAACUCAUCAUUAAUACAUAUUGCAUUAAUGAUUAAAUUAUUAAUUUCUUUGAGUGUAUGUAUGAGCAACAUCUUAAAGUGAUAGCAUAAUUUUUAACUUUAAACAAUCAAUAAUUUAAUAGGUAGUAAUAUAUAUCUUUAAUAAUAGAUACAAUGAUCAUAUAAAUCUAUCAUUGUGGUAUUUCCACCAAGUUUGAAUUUAAUAUUCAUCCUUGUGCAUGUGGACAUAUAAAAUGAUCAUGGGAAGGGGUGGGUUUGUAAUUCAAGGAAUAAAAAUGUAACACAAAAGGUAGAUGACUACGUAGUAUUUAAAUUACAGAUAAUAAUUCAUGAGAAACAAUAUAUAAUGAUAUAGUAGGCUUGGGUAAAGCAUUGAUGAGUUGCUUCAAUUUAAUUUUCAUAUAGUAUUGAAAUGUAAUAAAUCUUCAUUAGUGUAAUGAAGAUUAAUUGUAAAGUUUUUGGAAAAUCUUAUGGGACCUAGUUUAUUCUAUGGAUCCCAAUUGUUGCAUUUGAGUUAUUGAUCAUUUUUCUACAUUAUGAUUUAAAUUAUGAAAUAGAAAAAUAAUGGUGCACAAUAUGGAGUUAGGCUAUGACUCAUUCAUUAGUGAAAAAAUUGUAAUUUUGCCAAACCUAGUUUACAUAAGCAAAUCCAUGCCAUAGGUUAGAGACACAAUCUCUAGGUGGAAGCCUAGGAGCCACGAACCCACUCUCUCUCUCUCUUGUUUGAUUAUUAUUUGGUAGUUCGAAAAUUUUAAAUUAAAAUUUUCUUCUAAUACUUUUUAAUCACAAGUUUUUUGGGGGCUAUUAUUAAUUUACUAACAAUGGGAAAAGAUAUUUGUUGUUUUUCCUUUUUAGUAGCAGUUAAAAAGGUUAUAACAUUUGAAAAUCACAAUUUAUCUUAACAAGAACCCCUUUUUUUUUUUUAAUAAAUCAAUAGAAUAGAAUUAAAAAUUAGAGUAUAAAUUAGUAGCAUACCUGAAACCAAUAUGAAGAUAUAAUAACAUAAAGUAAUUAUCAUUGAAUAAAUUAAAAGCAAAGUCAUAUCUUCUAUUACAAUAGUGAUGGAAUUCACUUCCAAAGCUUAUAGUAAAUCAUAAAGCAUAUGAAGAUCUACAAACAAAAUUUAUUGCCUUCGAGCAUGAUUUUUGGCAUCGGUCACUCUUCUUCUAAACAACAGCCAUUUGACAAUUUUAUCCACAAAAUCAAAAUAGGCAUCGGACCAAGAUCUUCUUAUUGCCAAAACAAAAUAUGGAACUAAAAUGCCCACCGCAAAUCCCAAGCCAAUGCUCAAGUAAAACCACUGAUCAACAUAGCCACCAUUAAUUUUGUCUUCAAGAGCACUUUGCCUUUUAUCUAGAUCUUCAUCUUGACAUUUUGUGGCUAGUGGAGGUUCACAAAGAUUUGGGUUUCCAGUAAACGCCAACUCUGUGAAAGUUGUCAUUUGCCUUGUAAAGGGGAUCUUACCAGAGAAAUUAUUAUUUGAUAGAUUCAAAUAACCCAAGAAUGUCAACGAGGGCAUGCUUGAAAGAAUGGUGCCAGAAAGCUUAUUACGUGAUAGAUCAAGAGAGGACAAUUGACACAACAUUGAAAUGUUUCCAGGAAUUUGGCCAAUGAUGUGAUUCACCGACAAGUUUAGAAACAUCAAACCAAACAAUUUUGUUAUUCCCUCAGGAAACUCUCUACUUAAAUUAUUGUCAGAUAGAUCUAUACUAACAACAAGAGAAAGAGUCAUAGUGUAUUCAAGACUUUGGCCUUUUGUAAUCACAAUCAACCUUUCAUCAUACCAAGAUCUAGUCCCAUUGUGAUAUAAAGAAUACAUAUCCAUGUUAUGCUCCUAAGCCAUGGCUUUAAGCUCCACCAAAGUGACUGGAAUUUUACCAGUCAAAUUGUUUUGUGCAAGGUCUAAGACAUGUAGGGAACUUAAAUUUGAAAGUCGGUCGGGAAGUCUUCCAAAAAAUGCAUUUGACCUCAAGUUGAGUAUUACAAGAUUUAUGAAAGCAGUUCCAAUCCAUGAUGGAACCUUACCCGAUAAUUUGUUAUAACUGAGAUCAAGGAGUUCCAAACUUGAUAAAUUUUGGAAAGAUGAGGGAAGCUCUCCUGAAAGCUUGUUGUCGUUCAGGUGUAAUGAUUGGAGCAAUUGUAACCGACCCAAUGACUUUGGUAUCAUCCCAGACAAAUUGUUAUUUCCAAGGUCUAAAACAAUUAGGCGAGAACAAUUAUUUAUGGUAGAAGGAAUGCUUCCAGUCAAAUUAUUCCUUGAAAAAUUAAUGACUCCAAGAGAGGUGAGGUGUCCUAUGGAAUCUGGGAUGGUCCCUGUUAUUCUAUUACUCGAAAUAGAAAGAAAAUACAAGCUUGGUAGGAAUUCACCUAUGUUUGAUGGGAUGGGCUGAUUACUACUCAAAAAGUGUUAUUUGAUAGCCUGUAAUUAACUCUUUUAAAUACUUUUGAGUAGUAGUUAUCACCUUUUAACCCAAUUAAC